rnacentral:lncRNA from 1 species
ACGGUGGUGACUUGUAAACUGGUGCAGGAUGAUACGGUGUUGGUGAAGGAUGGUAUGGCUUCACCGGUGGUGGUGGUGACUUGUAAACUGGAGUUGGUGGUGGUGGGGACUUGUAAACUGGGGUGUGUGGAGGAUAGUAUGGCUUCUUGGGUGGUGGUGGUGACUUGUAAACGGGAGUUGGUGGUGGUGGCGACUUGUAAACCGGGGUAUGUGGGGGAUAGUAUGGCUUCUUGGGUGGUGGUGGUGACUUGUAAACGGGAGUUGGUGGUGGUGGUGACUUGUAAACGGGAGUGUGUGGGGGAUAGUAUGGCUUCUUGGGUGGUGGUGGCGACUUAUAAACUGGAGUUGGUGGUGGUGGCGACUUGUAAACCGGGGUGUGUGGGGGAUAGUAUGGCUUCUUGGGUGGUGAUGGUGACUUGUAAACGGGAGUGUGUGGAGGGUAGUAUGGCUUCUUGGGUGGUGGUGGUGAUUUGUAAAUCGAAGUUGGUGGUGGUGGCGACUUGUAAACUGGAGUGUGUGGAGGGUAGUAUGGCUUCUUGGGUGGUGGUGGAGACUUAUAUACAGGGUGGUGGGGUGGUGAUGGAUAGACAUGCACUGGUGGAGGAGGAGACUUGUAGAGGUAUGGUUCCUUAGGUGGUGGUGGAGAUGAGUAUUGAUAAUUUGCUGAGCUUUCAGAAGCUAAGCUCAGCGACACUAAAACCACUAAAAGAGAGGCAAAUAGAGAGGCCAUUUUCCCCAUCUUUGAAACAAAUGAGAAAAGUUGUUGUCCUCUUAAGCUUCACUCCGACCCCUUUAUAUAGCUUUCAAUGAUACAAUUACCCUUUUCAAGAUUUUCAUAAAUGAAGGUAAAAGUCUCACUAGAUUACUUAAAACCUACCGAAGUAAAAAAGCUAGAGUAUGCAUUUUGAUUUGGUUUUGUCAUGUUGUCGGCUCAAAUUGACUUGAGUUGGUAUACUUUUUUUGUUCGAUAGAGGCUGCAAGCUAAGCAUAGCUGGAAUUAAUAAACUAUUAUGGCAGCUAUACUAUUUCUGAUGCAAGAAUUUAAAGAGAAAAGUCUCCUUUACUUUCUAUCUUUUUAUACAGUACCGAAGCUUUGAAAAACAAGUGUGGAUGCCUCAACUUUGCACGAUUUCAGUUGCAGAAAUCUGAGCAGAUAGCUUUUUUAUAUGUCUCUUUUAACUUUAAUAAUGUUCUGUUCACAUGUAUGACUAAUUUCAAAAAAGAAAAACUAUGAAACUUGACAUUUACUACCGAAAUCACAAAGAGUGAAAUUAAUUCACUUGUAUCAGACAUUGAUAAAUUGAGUAAAGUUAAUAUUCAAGCAUGAUUAGUGUCAAUCAUUGUGUCGCUCUAAAAGGCUUUAUAUGUAAAUGAUUACCAAUACAGUAAAUUAAGUUAAAUUCUCCUUGUAUGAUUAAUGCUUCUAGUGAAGAAUCGGAUAUGGAUCUGACGACUCAGUUCAGCUUUGAACAAGUUAAGUUUUUUCACUUGAUGUUGAAGAGUUGAUGUAAUUUAAUUCUCGUGUACUUCUGACUGGUUAACUAACCUUCACAUGUGCUCAAGAAGCAUAUCAGGAUCUUUUAGUCUAUCCUAAUUCUCAAGCUAUAAAAAAUAGGGAAUAGUAGAGAAAUUAAACACAAUACAUUAUAUUAAGAGAUAUAAUUGAUCAAGAACCAAUUAAUACUUUGAUAGUAUACAAAUACCACUGUGCACUUUCAAUCAACGUAUAAGAAUCAGUAACUUAACUUAGAUCAUGAACUCCUACACUUUGGUGUUUUGUCAGAUUUUGAUUUUAUGCCCCCCUCCUUUGUAUUAUCUAUUUCGGUUUAACUUUAGGGUAAGCGUCCAAAUCACACCUCCCACCACCUCGGGAGGCAUAAGCUCUGCUGAAUGGAUUCAAGGGGGGAAAAAAUCCACCACCCCUCAACUUGGAGGGGAGUGGAUUCACAGGGACUCAAUGCUCGAAGCUCGUUGGAUUCACACUAGUUGAAAUAAAAUCUGGUGGAGUACCCGGCAAUCGCUUGGGCCGACGUGCAUAAUCAGUAACAAUAAAAAAUCAGAGUCGAAGACGAUCAAUUCGGGGCCCCUUCCGGGUUCGUUUACCCAGUCAGAGCCGUCGACAUAAUCAAGAGAGACAUUGAUCGUGAACCAAGGUCAAACAGGGAUCGAUAUCAGCCAUACAAUGGAGACCGAAGAGAUAGCGGUUCUGAGUCAAACCCCAUGAAAAGUGAAAGAAGGAGUGAUCGGGGUCAAAGCAAUCGGGGACUCAUAAGCAAAAAUAGUUUCAACGGGCCCAUCGGGCAUAAGGAGGCGCCAAGGCUAUCAGAGUACAACUUUAACGUCGACGCCGCAACCAUCGUAUCUGCCAUUAGACGCAUCAAAGACACCAAAUAGUCUCGACCUCUACAGUCCGAUCCAUCCCAAAGAGAUCCUAACCUGAUGUGUAAAUAUCAUGGCACUCAUGGCCACAGAACAAAAGAUUACCGACAAUUAAGAGAGGAGGUAGCCCGGCUAUUCAACAACAGACACCUCCAAAAGUUCCUGAGCGAUCGAGCCAAGAACCACUUUAGGAACUGAGAUUCUAGUAAACAGAUCGAGCAGGAGGAACCUCAGCACAUCAUUAACAUGAUCAUCGGUGGGGUCGACGUUCUCUAGGGGCCGAUGCUGAAGCGCACCAAAGUAUCCAUCACAAGGGAAAAACCUACUCGGGAUUAUGUGUCGGAGGGAACCUUGUCCUUCAACGACGAAGACGCUGAGGGAAUCGUGAAACCCCACAAUGAUGCACUGGUAAUGUCAAUACUUAUAAAUAAAUCUCGAGUUAAGCGUGUGUUAAUUGAUCCAGUUAGCUCGGCGAACAUCAUAAGAUCGAGGGUCGUGGAAUAGCUCGGCCUACAAGAUCAGAUCGUGCAUGCGGUUCGAGUCCUAGACGGGUUCAACAUGGCAUGUGAGACCACUAAAUGGGAGAUAACAUUACUAGUGAACACUGCCCGGACCGUUCAGGAAAUAAAGUUCUAUGUGAUCGAAGGGGGACAUAAGGUACAAUGCUUUGUUUGGGGGACCAUGGAUUCACAACAUGAGGGAGGUACCCUCGAAUCUUCACCAGGUAUUGAAGUUCCCGAUGUUGAAAUGAAGAAAAAUAGUUUAUGGAGAACAACCGUCCACAAAAGAGACGUUCGCGAUCGACAAGGUGUUCCCGAUAUCCACACAUUCGACACCGAAGGAGCUGGGUCCAGUCACCAAGGGAGAAACCAAAUAGCAACUAUUGACACCGACUCUGUCCUAACCAGAGAAGCAGGAGAUGGGCGAGGAUGACGACUACGGGGUUUCAAUUUCUUUCAUUGCUCUCGACGAUUCCGAUGCUACCAAAUCAACGGUCGAGGAACUGGAGCAAGUCGUACUGAUCGAACACUUGUCCGAUCGAAAGGUAUACCUGGGCACGGGGUUGAAUCCCGAUCUCAGGAAAAAACUCAUUCAAUUUAUUAUAGCUAACGAAGAUUUUUUUACUUGGCCCCACCUUGAUAUGAUAGGGAUCACACCAGAAAUAACCACUCUCCACAAGGAGGGAGUCGCACUUAGCUUCGAACAUCUCUACCUCCAAGAUUUUGGCCAGUUCGAGACCUGCAAUAAUGGCCUCAUACUCGGCCUCAUUGUUAGUAAAUUUUAUAGUCCUAAUGGAUUGUCUAACUACAUUACCUGUGGAUGAUUUCAAUACAAUUCCAAGUACAGACCCCUUUGCGUUCGAGACGCCAUAUGUAAAGAGGGUCCAUAUUCCUGAAGAAGUCCUCGAGCUUAAUAACAAAUCUUUCUCGACCUCGGGUAUUAGGGUCGGCGUAAAGUCGGCUACAAAGUCUGCCAAAAUUUGAGAUUUAAUAGCUGUCCGAGGCCGAUAUUCAAUAUCGUACCCGCUGAUCUCUACGGCCUAUUUGGCCAACCAUCCUGAGAGUUCGGGUUUAUGUAUUACAUUCCUUAAUGGGUAAGUGGUUACAACACAUAUGCGGUGAUAUUGAAAGUACAGUUUCAACUUCCUAGAGGCGCUUAGCAAAGCGAGCGCCAAUUUUUCUAGGUGAGGGUAUCUAGUUUGGGCCUCACCUAAAGUCCUGCUAACAUAGCAAAUUGGAAAUUACGUACCUUUCUCUUCCCGGAAUAGGACACCACUUACCGCUAUCUUUGAUACUGUCAAGUAUAAGUAUAGUUGUUUGUCUGUCUUCGGUGUGUGAAAAAGUGAUGGGCUCGAUAGAUAUCGCUUGAGCUCUUUCAAGGCUUGUUGGCAAUCCGAGGUCCAUGAGAACUUAUUCUUUUUCUUCAACAGUGAGAAGAACCGGUGGCUUUUGUCGGAGGACCUCGAAAUAAAGCGUCCCAAGGCGGCUAUGCAUCCGGUUAACCUUUAUACGACCUUCACAUUGUCCACAACAGUGAUAUUUUCGAUGACCUUGAUCUUAUCAGGAUUGUUCUCGAUUCCCCNNNNNNNNNNNNNNNNNNNNNNNNNNNNNNNNNNNNNNNNNNNNNNNNNNNNNNNNNNNNNNNNNNNNNNNNNNNNNNNNNNNNNNNNNNNNNNNNNNNNNNNNNNNNNNNNNNNNNNNNNNNNNNNNNNNNNNNNNNNNNNNNNNNNNNNNNNNNNNNNNNACUUAACCAACAUACUGUCAUGUAACUUCCAUUGAUUUUCUAUUUGUUCUCGACAUCCGAUUUACAGGCGUUGGUAGUGGCGCCGACGGCUUUUUAUCCUGAAUGGCAAUANGUUAUAGCAGUAGGUGUUGUACUUGGUGAUGAAGAAAGUUUUUUUCCUGAUCACCCGGGUUCAUCCGAAUUUGGUUGUACCCGAAAUAAGCAUCGAGAAAAUUAAGGAUCUCGUGGUCGGCCGUUGCACCGAUCAUGCGAUCGAUGUUAGGCAAAGGGAAAGAGUCCUUGGGACACACUUUAUUCAAGUCUUUAUAGUCCACACACAUUCUUAAUUUGUUCCCCUUUUUGGGGACUACUACUAUGUUUGCUAACCAGUCCGGGUAUUUAACCUCCCGAAUGGACCCUAUUUUAAGGAGUUUAGAUACCUCGCCUUUGAUGAAAGCAUGUUUGACCUCGGACUGGGGUCUCCUCUUUUGCUUGACCGGGUGGAACUUCGGGCCCAGGCUAAGUCAAACGACCUCGAAGUCCAGCACCGGGGCCACCCCAUUCUCGUUGGUUUAUGGCACCGAAGCUCUAAUACCGGUCGAAGUCAAAGAUCCUAGUCUCAGGUUCCGAUAUGCAACCGAAGAAUUAAAUAACGAGACCAUGAAUACGAUCCUGGAACUGUUAGAUGAAAGGCGUGAAGCAACCCUCGUCCGGAUGGCCGCCCAAAAAUAACGGAUUGAGAGGUAUUACAAUCGAAGAGUCAACCUUCGACACUUUAAUGUCAGGGACUCAGUGUUGAGGAAGGUCACAUUAAACACCUAGAACCCGAAUGAAGGAAAGCUGGGGCCGAACUGGGAAAGCCCAUAUCAAAUUAUCGAGAUCACCGGAAAAGGGUCGUACAAACUCGGAGCAAUGAAUGGUGAGCGACUACCAAACAUCUAGAACAUAAUUCACUUGAAACGAUAUUACUGCUAAGGUACGACCCCGUUUACUUCUUUUAUUUAUUUACAUUUUGGACUAACGCUUGCAGGUAACCGUCAAAGAACGAUACAAUUUUCUAGGCCUGAAAGCACGCGUUGCACUCUUUUUUCCUUGAACCGGUUUUGUUCCAAAUGGGUUUUCCGACAAGGUUUUUAGCGAGGCAAUAAUGGAUCGUGCUAACUUAGAAUCGAGGACCGGUUAUCAACAAUAUCCGAGGCUUCUCUAUGAUCGACCUCGAACACUGGAGGGCAUCACCCUCAGAUAAUGAUUUUGGCAGAGGAAGAAACUUUGUACACGAAUAGUCUAGCCUUGAUCGAUAGGAUUUACUGUAAGGGCCAAACAGUCAAAUAAACCAUGCCCACAUAAAUCGUCCGAGCCCGGACACAAAGCUUGAACACAUGUGUAACUUUGUAUAUUACGCACAAAAAUGAAAGGAAAUUUCUACCUUGCGAAUAAAUAUUUUGCCCCUUCAAAAUUUUUCUUUCUUACAUUUGAUCCCCGAAAAGACAUCGAGCCCAAGGGCCACCUCACUCGGGGACUGUCACCCAAGGCAGGUUCGGACGGCUCGGGAUAAUGAAACCUGAGGGCACAAAGCUUAUUAGGUAGUUCCCAAACUUUAAAGGCUACGGCCACCGCCAUUCGGCAGCGGUUAUCUCGGUUAAGCCCGGAUGACUCAGGGUAACAAGCUCACUGGGAAACCGUCUUACAACGGCUCGGAGAUAUCCGAGACCCGUUCAAAAGGCUACCCUCGGAAAAUUGUAAUCUAAAAAAUUCUAAGUACUUCGAGAAAAUCUUUCAGUCAUACCGAGCCCCCCACUAUUCUUAAACAAAAUAGUAUCAAGAGCAAGGCAUGUUCGAACCUCCGAACAAGACCUAAUUAUUACAUGUUAAGGCAUUCUUUACAAUCAUAAAAAAAAAGAGCGAAAAGAAACAAGCUUAAAAAGUGUCGAAGGGAAAAAGAGCCUUAUAUAUAUAUAUUUAAAGAUCUUUAAAAGGGCCAAGCGUCCUCGACAAAGAGGUACAAAAGUACAAAAACAAAGAAAAAACUACAAGGCAUUUAAACGGUUUGGUCUCCACCGAAGCCCGCCUCAUCAUCGGGACCAUCAGAAUCGUCUCCGCUCCCGGAUCCGCCCUAACGCUCGGAGUUUUCUUCAUCCUCGGGAUACGCCAACUUUUUGGCCUCGACCUCGAGCCCCUUAGCUCUUUCGACCUCGACCGACAAAUCAAAACCCCGAGCAUAAACUUCCUCGAGGGCCUCCCUUCGGGACUGUCACUUCACGUAUUCGACAAUAUCUUUCAGGUGGUCCUGGGCUACCUCGACAUCAGCUUUAUAUUGGGCCACCAUCUCAUCGACAUCGUCUUUGGUUACUUUAAACACUAACUUAGCCGCUUUAAGCUCCUUGGCAAGAGUCUCUCGAUCGACAACAGCUGAGCUUAGCUAAGACUGUAGCUCCUCAAUUUUUUGGGACCGUGCCUCAUCCUUCUCCCUUGUCGCUCAAAGUUGGGCCUCCGCCGAGGUCAACUAAGCCCAGGACGUCUCCUUUUACGAGGCCAGGCAGUCCAUCCUGCCUCUUCACUCUUCAGCCUCGACCUUGACUACAUCUAUCUCAGCUCGGAGUUGGUCGAUCCGAUCAAUCUUCUGUUUUACUUGCGGGUUCCGACCAUUAUUCACCGUGUCUAGAUCAUCAUCACUAACUUCAAAGUUUUUUACCUAUUCAACCAGGUCGGCGUGUUCAUUCUGAGCUACUUCCAGCUCAGCUCGAAGGCUCUUAGCCUCUCCUUCAUGCUGCUCGUUGAGAAGUUUGUACGUCUCUCUUCUCAGUAAGUUCUCUAACUUCGGCUUCGAGUUGGUUCAGCUCAUCCCGAUACUGGAGAAAAGUUUCAUGGUGAAGCACCGAGGCCUACAAAUAUGAAGAAAAAUAUUAGGAUUAUCAAUGAACUAGUGCAAGUAUAGGAGGAGAAAUUGAAAUCAUCAAGAGUUAUCUAGAGUUACCCGGUUCAGCGCUUGUUGUGGUUCAUUGAACAGACAGGGCACGUCUACCUCGUUCAUUUUUUCCUGGUCUUCUUCGGUCACCAGGCACCAAAGAUAAUUGGUCACCUCUACGGGGGUUGAAAGAACCCGGGCAUCCUCUAUAACGGUGAUGACAAUGGACCGCUUCCGAUCAGGAUCCACACUUGGGGCAGGGAACCGGUUGAUCCAUUUCGGGCUCAAGUUAGGUCCACCUACCCCCGAGGACAUACUCUUCUUCGGUACCUCUAAUUCUCUCAAUCCAGUGACGUCCUCCGUGGCGGUGGAAUCCAUAUGCCCCAUGGGCCUCCUUUAAGUCACCCAAGCAGCAGAGGGGGUCGUCCGCACCAUGGGCCCCCUCGUUAGGGAGCUCUUUCACCGUUUGGGCCUCGUUGUACAUGGACUCAGUAAACGAGGGUGACUCGGUGAUUUCUAUGACACCGAGUGCCUCUUUUGGGGCACUGCCCACAUCCCGGGAAGCCUCUGCCCUGGUCUCCUCAUCGACCUCCCUGGCUUGAGGCAUAUCGGCCUCACGGAUCUCUGGUUCAGAGGCCCCCUGCUCUUCGAGCCGCGAUGGCUCACGGGCCACCAGAACAAAAUGGUUCUUCUUCCUCGGGUUCUUCCCUCAGUUGGUAGAGCGAAUCCGAAGUCGGUACUCGGGCGCUGGUGUUUUCUUUCGACUUGUGCACCAGUCUUCUCCUUGUUUUCUUUUUCUCCGAGCUUGGAGAACUCGGAGCCCUCUUCCUUUUCCUCUCUUCGGCAUGUAUCAGAUCUGGGGACUCGCCAGGUAAGUUCUCGCCACCGACUGGAGGCCGAAGCUCGACAUCCUUAGAUAAAACUGUAAAAACAAGUUAAGGGAGUAAGGGCUUAAUGUUAAUUGGAGAGUCCUAAUACAACUUACUCAGAGAAGAAGUCUUACCGUGGGAAUGGGCCUCCCAACGGCCCUUCGAGAGUUUGCUCCAUGAGCGCUCGAAAUAGGGCAUUUGAGAAAUGAUACCCUCGACCCACUCCUUGAGUCGAGGGACAACAUUUGGGACCCGAGCGAUGGCUACACCAUCACAAAACACCGAUAAGGAAAAGAGAAGUAAAUAAUAAAUCGACAUUCAAAAGUAAGUUAUACUUAUGUGACGUAUUCCACUUCUCGAGAAAUGGCCUUCACUCAUCUCGGAUCAAGUCCGAAGUCAUCACUCGGACAAAACGGCCUUGCCAGCCUUGAUCCCGGUCCUCAUCAAUACUUGAGAACGGGGCCUUACUGGCCUAACGCACAUGCUUUAUCAGUCCCCCGGGAAGAUUCGGGGACUGUAUAAGCAGAGUAGAUGAUCGAUGGUGAACGAGCACCCAUCAAUUUUAUUCACAAAAUACCGGAGGAGGAUCACGAUCCUCCAGAGUGAUAGAUGAAUCUAUCCUAGGUACACGUUAUACCUCCUACAGAAAUCCAAAAUGACCGGGUCCACUCGACCCAAUGUAAAGGGAUAAGUGUAAAUACUUAAAUAUUCCUCGACAUAGGUGGUGAUGGCCUCUUCGGGGACGGGUACCACUAUGUCUUUAUCAGCCUAAUUGCAAUAUUUUCGGACUGUAGGGAGGACCUCCUCGGUAAUCGAGUAGAUGUAUCUCGAAACCUUCUCGUACUGACCCUGUAUGGAGGAAGGAUUUUCAACCUUGAAAUCAACGUUGACCGAACAUCUCCCGGGGAUGAACAUUUUUAAAGGGGGUUCGGGCACUGAUUCAUCAAUGGCCGCACGCGGAGCAGUCUCCUCGACCUCAGUAGCCGACCGUGAAGUAGAAUGAGCUUCUUCUUGGGGAACGGUUUUGGAAGUCCUUUCCAUUUCUUUAGAAAAUGAAGAUGGAGGAAAGUCUGAGAAAUAUGAAGAAAGAAAGAAAGUUGAAGGAUUAGACUUGUUGGCUUGAGAUGAAGAUGGGUAAAAAUUCUUGUAAGGACCUCGAAUAACCGGGGUAAAAGUGCUAAAGAGUAUUGAAAUCCUAAAGGUACGAGGGUAGAAGGUGUGGAUGUAAAGUAAGAAUGAAUAAAUGAGGGGGUAUUUAUUGUAGUUCAGCGGCGAUUCACAUCUUAGGCGGCCGACCAACGGCUGACAUGCAUUUAAUGCCAUUAUGACUUGACUAACGAGAGAUUUCAGUUGUUUUGUCAUUUUCGUCACGAUGUUUCGAAGUAAGAAUCGGAAGCUCAUGUCGUUUCUCAUCGUUUACUCUCUGUAAAACGAGGGGACUGUUUGUAUACGGGUGAAAUCGAGCUCAUGGUGCAUCCUAGCCUCCGACAAAAUAAGCCAGGCUCGAGACAUGGCAAUAAGGGACCGAAAUCGAGCCAAAGUCCCACCGGGCUAGAACCCGGGGACGUGACGCCUACCUUCGAAAAUAUCGAAGCCAUGGUCCUGGAAUAGGUCCUAGCCUCGAACAACUUCGAAGAAUAUUGUUAGACAAUCCAACAUAGCCAACAGAAGGCCAAAAUAUCUGUGACCGUCCGAAUAUUACAGCGGAAAUCUCGACAUAUAUCGAUAAGGAACCGACAAUCAGUGAAUUAGAGAUUUUUUAUCUUUUGCAGAUAUGUACCUAAAAUAAGACUCCCCUACUAUAGAAAGGGAGUCUGAUAGUGCAUGAAGUGUAUGAUAACAUGCAUUCAAAAGCAAUAUAUUAUUAUUUUCUCUGUCUUUAGCUCUUGUUCUUUUUUCAACGGUUUACCGGUCGUGGCGAGCCCGGCUCGAGAACGGCUAUUUCACUAAGGCUGAAACUAUUCAACUCGUGUGGUUUGAAUUUAUUUUAUCUUUAUUUAUUCUAUAGUAAUUUAAUUUAUUGCUUUGUAUCAAGUUAAUCCGCAUAUUCUUAAAAUUACUUACAAAUUUAAUUGUUAUCCUAUUUUGAGGGUAAACAUAUAUCUAAUUCAAUCCAAUAUUUCUGAAAAUGUUAGUUAUCAUAGUUUAUCAUCAUGGGAACAGACCAGAGGUACAAAAAACCAUGUUCAAGCAAUGGACUAAAGUUGCGAAAAGUUAUCCAAAAGCAAAGGAAAAAUGGCAUCCAGGAGGAUCCAGACAUACAACAUUCAUGCUCAAAUUGUGCUAAGACCAAUGUAUUUGAGUAUCACAAUGAUAGCUUUUUUAAAUAAUUUAGGAGAGAGGAAAAUUAACCUAGGAAAUGUUGAGGAUAUUAUUAACAUUUAUUUGCUAAAGGUACUAACAACAGUCUGUGAAAUGAGAAGAUCCAUUUGAAUGGAUGAAUAAUGAAAGGAGUGUCUUGAAAACGAAAUAUGGAAAUUAUACAAAUAUUGCAUUUGUUUAUCAUUUAAUUAAUUACUUGUAUAAUAUAUAGCAAUUGAUGCCUACUGUCGUUGGUAUAUGAGAAGCUAAGGACCUUAAUUUUCAAAAGCGUGUACGAGUUUUUAUAGUAAAUUGCUGAAGGCAAAAACUAAUAUAAUAGGAAUCCUAUCACCUUAACAAAUGAACAAUAAUUUGUUAGCUUAAGAGUGUAUACUGUCAUAAUUGAGCUUGCCCUUCAUAUGAUUAAUCGAGACUGGAACAUGAUAGAUCAAGGUUCAACCUCGUAUAAUAUCAAGUUAUGAUACGAAGUUAGGUUGCCGAGCUCGUGACCCAGAGACCGACCAAGAUCAAGAUUGGCCAAGAUCGAGAUCGAGCAAAAUAGAAAUUGGUCGAGACCGAGCAAAAUAGAAACCGGUCGAGAUCAGUCAAGAUUGAGACCGAGCAGAAUAGAGACCGGUCGUGAUCGGCCAAGAUCAAGACCGAACAAAAUAGAGACCGAUCAAGAUCAUGAUCGGCCAAAAUUGAGAUCGAGCCAAGAAACAAAAAAAAUGGUAUAUCCGCAAUCAGGGGAAAAAUCUCGGCGAAAAUCCCGGCGAAUAUCAAGGAGAGAUAAAUUAAUUAAUCUAUCAUGGGAUUUCUUCUGUAUUGAGAAUUAUAUUCAAAGUAAGACUUCCUCACUAUAUAAGGGGGUUAGAUCAUUUGUAGUGGGAGGAUAUUUUUUAGGCAAUAAAAAUAACACAUUACCUUCUUUAAGCUUUAAGAUUUUGUUACUCUAUUCAUACAUGGGCAGAAUCCUUACUUGUUUUGAGGGUGACCGAACUUCAGGGCUAAGACUAAUUGAUUCAUUUGGUUUGCAUUUAUCUCUUUUAUAGUUAAUUUCAGCACUGAUUUAUAUAUUUUCUCGGCUUGUACCAAGUUAUAUAACGUAUGCUUAGAGCCGCGUAUAAAUUCAAUUGUUAUCCAUUUUUUGGAUAAACAAUUUGGCGCCCAUCGUGGUUAUUUGAUACAAAUCUCUGUAAAACACACUAUUUUACACUUGCUCUUGGAGGUAUCUUUGAUUUCAGGUUGAAAAUUAUAAACUCUCAAUUAAUGCCCCUAGAUAUCGACAACGAAUCUGGCCAUCAAGGUGAUAAUAACAAUGUGACGCCCGGGGAUGAAGAGCCACCCGCUGACCCCGUUGGGACUCGGGUCGUGGUUCCGAUUGACGUUAAUUCGCAUGUGGCUGUCGAAGCGAACCAACAUUCCAGUCCCGAAGAUAGCUUCCAUGGUGGAACCCGAUCUGCAGUUCAAAAUACCCAAAAUAUUGGAGAAGACGGGAUCAGCAUGUGUAUGAUCUUCAAAAUGCUGCAAGCUCAAUAGGUGGCGAUAGCUCAGUUGUAGAGCCAAACCUAGGCACCGAGCAUGGCUGAGCCCGGUCCACCCCAAGAAGUCACCCACAAAACGGGACCAGCUAUGGUAAGGUCAAAUAGACAAGAAUCGGGGACUAAUCCCGAAAUUAUAAAAAUGCUAGAGGAACUGACAAAGCGGAUAGAGUCAAGGGAAAAGAAGAUCGAAGAAAACGACAAAAAAGUAGAAACUUAUAACUCCAGGGUUGAUCAGAUCCAGGGGGCACCACCAAUGUUGAAAGGUUUGGAUUCCAAAAAGUUCGUACAAAAGCCUUUCCCCCCGAGCGCGGCUCCCAAACCUAUCCCCAAGAAGUUUCAAAUGCCCGAGAUUUCUACGUAUAAUGGAAUGACCGACCCCAACGAGCAUAUCACCUCUUACAUGUGUGCCAUUAACGGGAAUGAUCUAGAGGACGACGAUAUCGAAUCCGUGUUACUAAAGAAAUUCGAGGAAACCCUAUCAAAGGGAGCAAUAAUAUGGUCUCAUAAUUUACCACCUAACUCUAUCGAUUCUUUUGCCAUGCUUGUAGAUUCUUUUGUAAAAGAACACGCCGGAGCUAUAAAGGUCGAGACUAGAAAGUCGGACCUUUUCAAGGUAAAGCAGAAAGAUAACAAGAUACUUAGAGAGUUUGUAUCUCGUUUCCAAAUGGAACAAACCGGUCACCGACUAUUGGGCCGUUCAAGCUUUACCCAAUGACUAAAUGAACGAAGUUUAGUAGCUUCACAACAGUUGAAGUAGAACUUGAUUAAGUACCCGACUAUUAUCUGGGCGGAUAUAUAUAAUCGUUAUUAAUCAAAGAUUAGAGUCGAAGAUGACCAGAUGGGGGUUCCUUCUGGAUCCGUUAGCAACACAGACGUCGAUCGAGAACCAAGAUUGAACAGGGAUCGAUAACAGCCGUAUAAUAGAGAUCGUAGGGGCAACAAACUUGGGCACAACUUUGUACGAGGUGAAAGGAAAAGUGAUCGAGGCCAUGGUUCUUGAGGGCUGAUGAGCAAGAAUGGUUUCGACAGAUAUACCGGACCUAAGGAAGCACUGCAAUUGUCGGAGUAUAACUUCAGUAUUGAUACAUUUGCCAUCGUAUGAGCUAUCGGACGCAUCGAAAAUACUAAAUAGCCUCGACCUCUGCAGAUCGAUCUAGCUAAGAGAAAUCCCAAUCAAGUAUGCAAGUAUCAUGGCACCCAUGGCCACAGAACGGAAGAUUGCAGGCAGUUGAGAGAAGAAGUAGCCCGGUUAUUCAAUGAAGGGCACCUUCGGGAGUUUUUAAAUGAUCGGGCCAAGAAUCAUUUCAAAAAUAGAGAGUUCAAUAGACAAAAUGAGCAAGAAGAACCGCAACACAUAAUUCACAUGAUUAUCGGAGGGAUCGAUGUUCCCCAAGGGCCAGUGUUAAAACGCACUAAGGUGUCAAUCAUAAGGGAGAAGCAAUCUCGAGCUCAGGAUUACAUACCGAAAGGAACCUCAUCCUUCAACGAUGAAGACGCAGAAGGAAUCAUGUAGCCCCAUAACGAUGCGCAGGUAAUAUAUGUACUCAUGNNNNNNNNNNNNNNNNNNNNNNNNNNNNNNNNNNNNNNNNNNNNNNNNNNNNNNNNNNNNNNNNNNNNNNNNNNNNNNNNNNNNNNNNNNNNNNNNNNNNNNNNNNNNNNNNNGUGCUAAACGGAUUCAACAUGCCAUGUGAAACUACUAAGGGCGAGAUAACUUUGCCAGUAAACGUGGCCGGGACCAUCCAAGAGACGAAGUUCCAAGUGAUCGAGGGCGACAUGAGGUAUAAUUCCCUAUUCGGGAGACCAUGGAUCCACAAAAUGAGAGCAGUACCCUCGACCCUUCACCAGGUUCUAAAAUUCCCAACACUAGAGGAAAUUAAAACAAUCUACAUGGAGCAACCCGCCGCAAAGGAAAUGUUUGUUGUUGACAAAGUGAUUCCCAUGCCAUCACUCUCUUCGACAAGGGGGUCAAAUUUGAAGGGAAAAUAGGAGAUCAAAUAGCAAAUCACAAACGCCGGCCUCGAUCCAACUAGAGAAGAAGAGGACUGACGAAGAUGAUGAUUAUGGAGUCCCUCGAUCCUUCAUAGUCCCCGAUGAUUCCGACGCUACCAAAUUAGCGGUCGAAGAGCUGGAGAAAAUCAUACUAAUCUAACAUCUCCCUGAACGAAAGGUAUACCUAGGCACGUGGUUAAAUCCCGAGCUCAGGAAAAAGCUUAUUCAUUUUCUUAUAGCUAACAUGGAUUGUUUCGCUUGGUCCUAUCUUGACAUGACAGGGAUCCCACCGAAAAUCACCACCCAUAAACUAAGCUUGGACCCGAAGUUCCAUCCGGUGAAGCAAAAAAAGAGACCCCAGUCCGAGGUCAAACAUGCUUUCGUCAAAGACGAGUUAACAAAGCUUCUUAAAAUAGGGUUCAUCCGUGAAGUAAAAUACCCCGAAUGGUUAGCAAACGUAGUAGUAGUCCGUAAAAAGGAAACAAACUUAGAAUAUGUGUAGAUUACAAGGAUCUAAAUAAAGCAUGCCCCAAGGAUUCGUUUCCUUUGCCUAAUAUCGAUCGCAUGAUCGAUGCCAUGACCGGCCACGAGAUCCUCCAUUUUCUCGAUGCCUAUUCCGGGUACAACAAAAUACAUAUGAACCCAGAUGAUCAGGAAAAGACCUCGUUCAUCACUAAAUGUAAUUCCAUUUGGAUUAAAAAAAACACUGGUGCCACUUAUCAACGCCUAGUAAAUCGGAUGUUCGAAGAACAAAUAGGGAAAUAUAUGGAAAUUUACAUUGAUGACAUGCUAGUUAAGUCCCUGUGAGCAGAGCACCAUUUAAAGCACUUGCAGAAAACUCUCAGUAUAUUGAAUAAAUACAACAUGAAGCUGAACCCCGAAAAAUGCGCAUUUGGGGUCGGGUCAGGCAAAUUUCUCGGGUUCAUGGUAUCCAACCGAGGAAUCGAGAUUAAUCCUGACAAGAUCAAAGUUAUCGAUGGCAUCACGGUGGUAGACAGCGUAAAGGUCGUGCAGAGGUUAACCGGGCGCAUGGCCUCCCUGUAGAGAUUCAUCUCGAGGUCCUCCGAUAAAGGCCACCGAUAUUUCUCGUUGCUAAAGAAGAAAAAUAAUUUCACAUGGACCUCAGAAUGCCAGCAGGCCUUGGAAGAGUUUAAACGGUUCUUAUCGAGCCUGCCACUGCUUCACACGCCAAGGGCAGACAAACAACUUUACUUAUAUUUGGCAGUAUCGGAGAUAGCGGUAGUAGAGCCCUAGUCUAAGAAGAACAAGGUACGCAAUUUUCUAUUUAUUAUGUCAGUCGGACUUUAGGUGAGGCCGAAACUAGAUAUCCCCACCUAGAAAAAUUGGCGCUCGCUUUGAUAAGCGCCUCUAGGAAACUAAAACCAUACUUUCAAUGUCACCCCAUAUGUGUUGUAACAACUUAUCCACUUCGAAAUAUUUUACAUAAACCCGAGUUUUCGGGACGGUUGGCCAAAUAGGCCAUAGAAAUCAGCAGGUAUGAUAUCGAAUAUCGACCCCGAACAACAAUUAAGUCUCAAAUUUUGGCAGACUUUGUAGCUGACUUCACCCCGGCCCUAGUAGCCGAGGUCGAAAGAGAACUGUUGAUAAAUUCGGGUACGUCCUUAGGAAUUUGGACCCUCUUCACGGACGGUGUUUCGAACGCGAAAGGGUCCGGGCUCAGCAUCAUACUAAAACCACCCAUAGGCAACAUGGUUAGACAAUCUAUUAGAACUGUGAAAUUGACUAACAAUGAGGCCAAAUAUAAGGCCAUGAUUGCAGGUCUCGAACUAGCCAAAGGCUUGGGAGCAGAGGUGAUCGAAGCCAAAUGCGACUCCCUCAUCAUAGUGAAUUAGGUAAAUGCAAAGAUACCUAUAUAAGUUACAAGUAAAUUUGCACCGAUUUAAGGAGUGGACUUUGCAACAUAUGCCUCAAGAUCAGUAUAGUGAGGUUGAUGCCCUCGCAAACUUAGGGUCAUUAAUUGAGAACAACGAGCUUGAUCGAGGGCCGUUGUGCAACUCAUGAGGUCAGUAGUCGAAGAAGGCCACGCCGAGAAAUAAAUACAUAGAGUAUUUGAAAACCGGAAAGCUUCCAUUAGAUCCGAAAGAAUCGAGGGCCCUGUGCAUAAAGGCGGCACGAUUCACCUUGUCCGAAGAUGGAACCUUGUUUAGAAGAAUGUCCGAUGGUUUAUUAGCAAUAUGUCUGGGACCAGGAAACACCGAGUAUGUUCUAAGGAAAGUUCACGAGGGCACUUGCAGGAAUCACUUAGGUGUCGAAUCAUUGGUUCAGAAGGUAAUCAGAGCUGGUUAUUACUGGAUCGACAUAGAAGAAGACGCAAAAGAAUUUGUUCGAAAAUGUGACAAAUGCCAAAGGCAUGCAGCAAUGAUUCACCAACUUGGGGAACUGCUCCAUUCGAUCUUGUCAACAUGGCCAUUGGAUGAAAGGCGCGAAACAACCCUCAUCCAACUAGCCUCCCAAAAGCAACGGAUCGAGAGAUACCACAAUCGAAGAUCCAACCUUUGAUAUUUUAAUGUCGGGGACUUAGUGCUGAGAAAUGUCACCCUCAACACCCGAAAUCCCAAUGAAGGGAAAUUGAGUCUGAAUUGGGAAGGACCAUACCAAAUUCUCGAGGUCACCGGAAAAGGGUCCUACAAGCUUGGAACGAUGAAUGGGAAACAACUACUUAUCAAUUGGAACAUAUCUCACUUGAAACGUCACUACUGCUGAGGUACGCCUUUUUUCUAUUCCUUUUCUUUUUUCAGAUUAAUGCUUGCAGGUGGUCGACAAGAAAAGACGAUGGAUUUUUUAGCAAACGACACAAAGUAUUUAGGUUUGAAAGCACGUGUUGCACUCUUUUUCCCUCAGACCGAUUGUGUCCCAAAUGGAUUUUUUCGACGAGGUUUUUAACGAGGCAAUGAUGAAUUGUGCUAACUUAGAAUUAAGCCCGAUUACAAAUCGGUAUCAGAGAUCCAUUCGACAUUAUCCGAGGUUUCUUUGCAAUCAACCUCGAAUACUGGUAAGGGCUACCUUCGGAUAUGCGUUAUCUUCGAAUCAACUCUAGAAAGGAAACUACUUCCUAAAGAGAGGAUCUCGAUAUAUAGGAUUUAUUCUAAGGGUCAAAUAGUCAAAUCGAACCGUGCCCAUAUAGAUUACUUGAACCCUGUUUCGAUCGAGAAUAAAGAGAAGCAUGUUCCUUACAAACAUCUUAUGCUGUAAAAAAAAAUUAUCUUCUCUCUUUACAAAGAGCUUCGUACUUCCGAAUAUAAACAAGCCCAAGGGCAAUACUUAACUGGAAAAUGAACGAUCUCUCCCUCACUCGAGGAAUGCCAUCCGACUCAAACAGCCCAAGUCAUCGGGCCUCAGGAGAAAAAGACCUAAUAUAAAACGCCCCGAUUUCUAAAAGUCACGGCCACCCCACUCGAGAACUAUUAUCUCGGGCAAGCCCAGAUAAAACGAGAAAACAAGCCCAAUGGAUAGAUCCCGAACUAAAAGGCUACAUCCAAUUUAACACGGCUCAGAGACGUCCGAAAUCCGUAACAAAAAUAGGCCUUAGAAAAAUAUAAAUUCUUUCACAACCGGUUCUAAAGGAUACCCUCGGCAGAAUCUCAAACUUAAGAUGUUUUUUCGGGAAAAACUUUGAUAACAUCAAACCCCAAUAAUGCCUUAACCCAGAAAGGAAAUAAAGGCAAGGUUUGUUCGAACCCUCGAACACAACCUUAUUGUUUCAUGCUAAGGCAUUUUCAACCUUUGUACAUAUAAAUAAAGCAAAGGAAAAAUACGAGUGCCGAAAGGGAAAGAAAAGCCUUAUAUUUAUAAACAAUAAUUUUUUACAAAGGCCAAAUCAGCCUAAAUUUACAACGGCCAAAAAACAGCCUCGGAAAAAAUGCAAAAGAAAAAAUAAAAAGUCCUAAGAGGCUUGGUCUUCAUCAGAGGUCGCAUCUCCAUCCUCGGGAUCUUCUCCGUCUUCGGAUUUGCUUGAACUCAUAGAGUCUUCCUCAGGGAAGUCCAUCUUUCGGGCCUUGGCUUCCUCUACUCUGGCCUUUUCUACCUCGACCAUGAUAUCGAAGCCCUGGGCUUGAACCCCUACAAGGGCUUCCUUUCGAGCCUACCAUUUUGCAUGUUCAACCAUGCCCUUGGACUUGGCCUGAUUGACUUCGACAUCAACUCUAAACUAGGCUACUUUAGCAUUAGCUCUUUUAUUACCCACGACCAUCUCAGCUCUGGCUAUGGCCACCUCGAAUCUGGCCACUUCGAGUUCAUCGGCCAAACUUGCCUUAUCAGAAACGACCAAAUCCUACUGACACUGAAGCUCUUUGAUCUUCUCGACGAACACCGAGGCCUUAUCUUUUGCAUCUUGGAGCUGGGCCACGGCCGACACCAAUUGAGCUUGGACGAUCUCCUUUUUUGAGGCUAGAAUGUCCAUGUACUUUUUGAAUUCUUCCGCCUCAUCCUGUAUCGCAUUCACCUACAUUUGGAGCCUUCCAAUUUGUUCGAGCCUCUGUCGAACCUGCAGAAUUAGAUCAUUAGUAGUUAUAUUCAAUUCAUCUUCACUAUCGUGAAGCACUCGAAAUACAUGUUUAGCCAUCUCGGCAUGCUCAUCCCGAGCAGUUACCAAAUCUGCCUGAAGCUUCUCACUAAGAAGUUUGUAGGUGUCACCUUUCUCAGUGAGGUCCCAAACUUCAGCCUCAUUCCUCCCGGAUUUGGAGGAAAGCCUCGUGAUGCAACACCGAAGCCUGUAAAUAAGGAAGAAGAUAUUAGAAUUAUCUACAACUCUAAGUAUAAAAGAAACAAUAGAGGUACCCUCGAAGUUACCCGAUUCAGAUCAUGUUGGGCCUCAUUGAAAAGGCAAUCGGCUCCUACCGCGUUCAUCACGGCUUGAUCCUCCUUCGUCGCCAAGGAUCUAAGGUAACUAGCAAUCCCCAUGGGGGGAGAGAAAACUCAGUCAUCCUACGGGAUGUAAAGCACUAUCUUCCGCCUACGAUCGGGGUUAACACUCGGGGCCGUGAAUCGGUCCACCAGUUUUGGGCUCGAUGAAGACCCGAUAGCACCCGACCAUGAUACUUUCUUCGGUACCGGUAAUCCACCAAACCCGAAAAUAUCCUCCGGGGCAGCGGACUCGAGCCCAUCCAAAAAUCCAUCGAUAUCAGUUGCCCCCUGAAUACCCUCGUAAGAUCGACUUUCCAACAUGUUGGCCUAACGGAUCAUAGCGUUCAAAAUCUGUGGGGAUCCAGAAAUAUCGACCAUCCUGAGCUCGUCCCUCGAGACAUCUUCUGCUACCCGAGAAGCCUUGCCUCCAGCCUCUCCUUCGACCAUCUCAGCUCGGGACGGAAUGGCCUCAACUUUUUCUGGUUCAGCAAUUAUGGCCAGAAUUCCCUCACCAACCUUCACCGAUUCGGAGGAUUUUUGUAUCAGAACAUUAGCCCGCACACAGGCUACUUCCUCUUCUCCUUCUUCGGGCUCAUCCCUUAAUCGACGGAUCAGGUCCGAAGGCAUAAUACCGGAGCCCCCCUUGGACUUGCGAGACUUCCUCGCUGGUUUUUUAUUUUUCGAGAUCGGGGAACUCGGAGCCCCUUUUCUCUUCUUCUCUUUGACCUGCUUCGGAGCAAGUACUUCUCGUCACCAGAUGGGGGCCUUAUGGCAACGUCCUUCCCGAGGCCUACAAAGGAAAAAAGGGGAAUAAGAAAGAGAAGAAGAUCAAACGAUAACUGUUCUAAGAAAGAAACUUACCAUGACUACGGGCCUCCCAUCGACCCUUUGAUAAUUCAAUCCAAGCACGCUCGGAGUAUGGUCUCUGCAACACCGACCUUCAACCCAUUGUUUAAGUUCAGGAAUCGAUUCCGGUAUCUGGGACACAACUGUAAUAACAUAGAAAAAGUAGAUAAAGAAAAUGAAAAUAAGAGCCACAAACUGGAACGUUCAAAGGGGAAUACUACUCACGAUUCAUAUUCCAUUUCUUAGGAAACGAGAUGUCUUCAGCAGGGAUCAGGUCCGAAGUCCUGAUUCAAACAAAUCGGCCCAUUCAACCUCGGUCAUGAGUCUCAUCUAUACUCGAGAACAGGGCUUUGGUUACUCGGCGAGCAAGCUUGAUUAGCCCUCAUCGAUAGAGUCGGAGACUGUAAAGGCGCAUAAAGUGAUCGAGGGUGAAAAGACACCCCUCAAUUUUGCUCGAGAAGAAUCGGAGGAGAAUUACUAUUCUCCAAAAAGAAGGAUGGAUCUGGCCAAGGGUCACGUUGUAUCUCUUGCAGAAGGCGACGAUGACAGGGUCUAAGGGACCCAACGUGAAGGGGUAAGGCCCCUCCACAUGGGUAGUAAUCGAUUGUUCAGGCGAUGGGACUGCCACAUGCUUUCCGCCCCAGUUGCAUUCCUUUUUCACUUUGUUGAGGAUUUCGUUAGUGAUUGAACACAUGUACCUCGAGAUCGGCUUACAUCGGCCCGGUACCGAGGAGGCUUUUUCGACCUUAAAGUUGAUGACGGUUGAGCACCAUACCAGAAUGAAUUCCUCAGGGUGGGGCUCCGCCGUAUCCUUACCUCCGGCGGGUCGUGAUGAAGAAAGGGCCUCUUUUUGCGGCACUAUUUUGGAGGUUUUCGCCAUUGAUGAACAAGGGAAAAUAAAAUUAGGAUGGUAUGCGGUUUAAUUGGAGUUCAAGAACUUUGGGUGUGAAAAUUAUAAAGCAAAGAGAUUUUCAGAAGAAGAUUCAAGAUCAGAGAAGAAGCCUUGAGUGAAAAGUUUGAAUAAGAAAAGAUUGGGUUCUUAUAGGUUAUUGGAGACGGUACAGAACCGGUAAUGGCCGACCAACAACUGACAGGUAUUUAAUGCCUUGAUAACUGGACCAACAAAAUAUUUUGUCGCAUACGUCAUAAUCGGGCUCGUCGCUGACAUCAUUAUUCAUCAAGUCGGAGUUUGGAAAUUCAUAUCGUUUCUCACCAUCUUCUUUCCGAGAAACGAGGGGACUAUCUAUAUACGGUCAAAAUCGAGCUUGCCCUUCAUAUGACUAAUCGAGACUGAAACAUGAUAGAUCAAGGUUCAACCUCGUAUAAUAUCAAGAUAUAUAUGAUGUGAAGUAAGGUUGCCGAGCUCGUGACCUAGAGACCGACCAAGAUCAAUAUCAAGAUCGAGCAAAAUAGAGAUUAGCCGAGACCGAGCAAAAUACAGACUGAUCGAGAUCGGUCAAGAUUGAGACCGAGCAGAAUGGAGACCGGUCGAGAUCGGCCAAGAUCGAGAUCGAGCCAAAAAAUAAAAAAGCUGGUAUAUCCGCAAUCAGGGGGAGAAUCUCGGCGAAAAUCCCGGCGCAUAUCAAGGAGAUGCCAAUUAAUUAAUCUAUCAUGGGAUUCCUUCUGUAUUGAGAAUUAUAUUCAAAGUAAGACUUCCCCACUAUAUAAAGGAGGUUAGAUCAUUUGUAAUUNNNNNNNNNNNNNNNNNNNNNNNNNNNNNNNNNNNNNNNNNNNNNNNNNNNNNNNNNNNNNNNNNNNNNNNNNNNNNNNNNNNNNNNNNNNNNNNNNNNNNNNNNNNNNNNNNNNNNNNNNNNNNNNNNNNNNNNNNNNNNNNNNNNNNNNNNNNNNNNNNNNNNNNNNNNNNNNNNNNNNNNNNNNNNNNNNNNNNNNNNNNNNNNNNNNNNNNNNNNNNNNNNNNNNNNNNNNNNNNNNNNNNNNNNNNNNNNNNNNNNNNNNNNNNNNNNNNNNNNNNNNNNNNNNNNNNNNNNNNNNNNNNNNNNNNNNNNNNNNNNNNNNNNNNNNNNNNNNNNNNNNNNNNNNNNNNNNNNNNNNNNNNNNNNNNNNNNNNNNNNNNNNNNNNNNNNNNNNNNNNNNNNNNNNNNNNNNNNNNNNNNNNNNNNNNNNNNNNNNNNNNNNNNNNNNNNNNNNNNNNNNNNNNNNNNNNNNNNNNNNNNNNNNNNNNNNNNNNNNNNNNNNNNNNNNNNNNNNNNNNNNNNNNNNNNNNNNNNNNNNNNNNNNNNNNNNNNNNNNNNNNNNNNNNNNNNNNNNNNNNNNNNNNNNNNNNNNNNNNNNNNNNNNNNNNNNNNNNNNNNNNNNNNNNNNNNNNNNNNNNNNNNNNNNNNNNNNNNNNNNNNNNNNNNNNNNNNNNNNNNNNNNNNNNNNNNNNNNNNNNNNNNNNNNNNNNNNNNNNNNNNNNNNNNNNNNNNNNNNNNNNNNNNNNNNNNNNNNNNNNNNNNNNNNNNNNNNNNNNNNNNNNNNNNNNNNNNNNNNNNNNNNNNNNNNNNNNNNNNNNNNNNNNNNNNNNNNNNNNNNNNNNNNNNNNNNNNNNNNNNNNNNNNNNNNNNNNNNNNNNNNNNNNNNNNNNNNNNNNNNNNNNNNNNNNNNNNNNNNNNNNNNNNNNNNNNNNNNNNNNNNNNNNNNNNNNNNNNNNNNNNNNNNNNNNNNNNNNNNNNNNNNNNNNNNNNNNNNNNNNNNNNNNNNNNNNNNNNNNNNNNNNNNNNNNNNNNNNNNNNNNNNNNNNNNNNNNNNNNNNNNNNNNNNNNNNNNNNNNNNNNNNNNNNNNNNNNNNNNNNNNNNNNNNNNNNNNNNNNNNNNNNNNNNNNNNNNNNNNNNNNNNNNNNNNNNNNNNNNNNNNNNNNNNNNNNNNNNNNNNNNNNNNNNNNNNNNNNNNNNNNNNNNNNNNNNNNNNNNNNNNNNNNNNNNNNNNNNNNNNNNNNNNNNNNNNNNNNNNNNNNNNNNNNNNNNNNNNNNNNNNNNNNNNNNNNNNNNNNNNNNNNNNNNNNNNNNNNNNNNNNNNNNNNNNNNNNNNNNNNNNNNNNNNNNNNNNNNNNNNNNNNNNNNNNNNNNNNNNNNNNNNNNNNNNNNNNNNNNNNNNNNNNNNNNNNNNNNNNNNNNNNNNNNNNNNNNNNNNNNNNNNNNNNNNNNNNNNNNNNNNNNNNNNNNNNNNNNNNNNNNNNNNNNNNNNNNNNNNNNNNNNNNNNNNNNNNNNNNNNNNNNNNNNNNNNNNNNNNNNNNNNNNNNNNNNNNNNNNNNNNNNNNNNNNNNNNNNNNNNNNNNNNNNNNNNNNNNNNNNNNNNNNNNNNNNNNNNNNNNNNNNNNNNNNNNNNNNNNNNNNNNNNNNNNNNNNNNNNNNNNNNNNNNNNNNNNNNNNNNNNNNNNNNNNNNNNNNNNNNNNNNNNNNNNNNNNNNNNNNNNNNNNNNNNNNNNNNNNNNNNNNNNNNNNNNNNNNNNNNNNNNNNNNNNNNNNNNNNNNNNNNNNNNNNNNNNNNNNNNNNNNNNNNNNNNNNNNNNNNNNNNNNNNNNNNNNNNNNNNNNNNNNNNAAAAUGGGUAGAUGAAUAGUUUUUCAACGCUCUAAUUUUUUACUUUUUACUCCUUCAUUAGAGAACGUGUAAGAAUUUUACUCUCUUUUUUUAAUUAGUUCAAGUCAAUCUUUCUUUUUUCCAAUCUCUUCAUAUUUCAAAAACCCUACAUAUUUUUUGUCUUUCUCUUUAUUAUUCUUACUCACAUUCUUUCUCCAAGAGUUUAUUAGGUUUAAGUGUUCAACAAUACUUUUAAGCUUGCAAUAGUUUUAUACUUCUAUUGCUCUACAAUAUCUUAUCUAAAAUCAACAAUAUCUCAAGAAAGACUAAAUGAGUUGUCUGUAAUAUCGAUUGAAAAAGAAUUAUUAGAAAAAACUGAUUAUAAAAAAUAUCAUUAACAACUUUAUAUCUCAAAAAGCUAGAAAAUUAGAUUUUAAAUAAUAAUAUAUCUUAUAACUUCCAUUUAAAAAUUUAGGUCUCGUAUUAAAUUUUGGUUUUAGGCCCUGCAUGUGCUUGUGAUGCACCAGCCAAGUUGUCAUACACAUGUAACAAACCAAAGACGUGCUUAUUUUUUACUUUAAUUUUUAAAGUAAGAAGAUACCCUUCAAUAAUUGAAUUCUAGUACCACUAGGUGGAUUACUCUAUUCGGUUCGUCCAACGACUUUGACAUUUUAUUUAAGUUAUAACAAUUAAUUAAUAGCAUAACUUAAUCACCGACAGAGGUAAAAUUGCAAAUCUCCUCAUAGAAUUCCAUUAGUUAAGCUAAAUUAUUAUAUAUAUUUAAUAAUACAUAGUUCUAACUUCUAAGAGAGAUAUGGAUUUAUUAACAAGCACAGAUCAAAGCUUCAUUGACCUAGUCAAGAAUUAUUGCCGACAAAUAUUUUAGACAAAACAUAUGCCUAGACGAGUCAGAGAUCUUCUAUUCUCUUUUGGUUACUCUUUUAUUUUAAUUAACAGUAUAUAAUUAAUUUUUAGUUUGUUUCUAAUUUUUCAUUACUGCACGAGUAACAAACUUUCUUUCUCUACAUAGUAAACAGUGGAAGAGAUGAACUCAAAUUGGACAAAAAUGAUCGAGGGAUAAACUCCCUAAUCUUGUUCUUAGCAUUCCUUAAAAUAGUCUGAAAUAAUGAUCAAAUCAAAGAAUUAUAAAUUUCCGAAGAACACGGAAUUAAUACUAUCUGUAGGCUUAUAAGAAUAGGCUAAUAGCUUACUCAACCAUUUAAGUAAGUAAAAUUAUUUUUUAAUCUAAUUGAGCAAAGACUUCAACACAUUUAUGAAGUAUUCCGGAUUGUAAUCAAACUUUACAUACAAGUUUCAAUCAACUAAAUGGACCUAUGCGAGGUCCUAGAACACCACCCUGUCGAUAAUACCAAAGUCCACUCAAGUUAAACUUAGCAAAUUUAAAAACUUUCAAAUGAAAACUUCCGACAAUAAGCCCUGAAACGCUCCUGGACCACCUGAUACUCAAUCCGAACAUAUACCCAAGUCUGAAUUCACCUUACAAACUUAUAGAAACCUUCAAAUUCCGAUUAUGAGGUCAUUUACUCAAAACUCAAACCUUGGUCGACUCUUCAACUUAGAGCUUCCGAAUUGAGAAUUAUUCUCCCAAAUCAACUCUGAACCUCUCGAAAGUCAAAAAUAACUAUACACGCAAGUCAUAAUACAUAAUAUGAAGCUACUCAAGGCCUCAAACCGUCAAACGACAAGCUAAAAUUCAAAACGGCUGGUCGGGCUGUUACAUUAUUGUUCUUUGUUUAUACAGGUAACUUGGUCGGUUUUAUUUUCAAAAGUGUAAUUUAAAUUUAAAUUUUGAAUUUCAUGAAUCAAAAGUCUCGGUAUUCGUGAUUCUACAAUUGAUAACUCAAGGAUGGUGUCAUCAAGUUUGUGGGUCUACAAUUGAGAACUUAAGGAUGGCAUCAUGGAGUUUAGUUCUCACUAGAACUACAACUCUAUAUAGAACCACAAACUCUAUGACUCCAUCCUUGAGUUCUCAAUUGUAGAACUAUAAAAUCCAAGACACCAUCCUUGAGUUCUCAAUUGUAGAACUACAAACUCUAUGAUGCGAUACUUUAGUUCUUAAUUGUAGAACCACAAAUGCUAUGAUAUCGUCAUUGAGUUCUCAAUUGUAAAAAUACAAACUCCUUAACUCUAUCCUUGAGUUCUCAAUUGCCGAACCAUAGAUUCUAUGAUGCUAUUCUUGAGUUCUAAAUUGUAAAAUCGUGAACUUCAUGAUGCCUUUUUUGAGUUCUCAAUUGUAGAACCAAACACACCAUGACUCCAUCCUUGAGUUUUAAAUUGUCAAACAACAAAAUCCUUGACUCUAUCUUUGAGUGUUUGAUUUUCGAACCAUAAACUUCAUGAUACCAUCCUUGAGUUCUCAAUUUUAGAAUCACAAAUUUUAUUACGGCAAUCCGAUAGAUAGAUUAUGGCUUCUUCACUAUCAACAAGCUCUCACAGGCAAUGAACUGCUUCCGACUUCUUCAUUGGGUUUGUAGCUAUACCGUAUAGAGAGAAAAGUUCCUUUUAAUAAGAGUAGAUAUAUUCAAGCAAACAUUUCAAUGAAAUGAUCCUUUGACAAUGAGGAACCAUGAAUUCCAUGACACCAUUCUUGAGUUCUCAAUUGUAGAACCAGAAACUCCAUGACUCCAUCUUGAGUUCUCAAUUGUAGAACCAGAAACUCCAUAACUCCAUCUUGAGUUCUCAAUUGUAGAACUAGAAACUCCAUGACUCCAUCUUGAGUUCUCAAUUGUGGAUCGACAAACUCCAUUACUAUCCUUGAGUUCUCAAUUAUAGAACUAUGAAGUCUAUUAUUCUAUCCUUGAGUUCCUAAUUUUAAAACCACGAACUUAAUGAUCUUAUCCUUGAGUUCUCAAUUGUAGAAUCACGAACUUUAUGACUUCAUCCUUGAGUUCUCAAUUAUAGAACCACAAAAGCAAUGAUGCUAUCCUUGAGUUAUCAAUUGUAUAAUUACAAACUCUAUAACGUCAUCCUUGAGUUCUCAAUUGUAGAAUCACGUACUCCAUAAAUCCAUCUUUAAGUUCUCAAUUGUUGAAUCAUACAAUCUAUGACUCAAUCCUUGAGUUCUCAAUUGUCGAACUACGAAUUUCAUGACACCAUGCUUGAGUUCUCAAUUGUAGAACCAUGAACUCCAUUAUCUAUCUUGAGUUAUUAAUUGUAGAAUCAGAAACUUCAUGGCUCUAUCCAUGAGUUCUUAAUUGUAGAACCAUGAACUACAUGAUUUCAUCCUUGAAUUUUUAAUUAUAGUACCACAAACUCCAUGACGUCAUCCUUGAGUUCUCAAUUGUAGAACCACAAAAUUCAUGACGCCAUCCUUGAGUUCUCAAUUAUAGAUUCACGAACUCAAUAACGCCAUCUUUGAGUUAUUAAUUGUCGAACCACGGACUCCAUGCCUCCAUCUUUGAGUUCUCAGUUGUCAAACUGCGAACUCUGUGAUACCAUCCUUGAGUUCCUAAUUAUAGAACCAUGAAUUCUAUAAUGCCAUCCUUGAGGUCUCGAUUGUAGAACCACAAACUCCAUGAUGCCAUCUUUGAGUUAUUAAUUGUAGAACCACGAGCUCAAUGACGCCACCCUUGAGUUCUCAAUUGUAGAACCACAAACUCAAUAAUUCCAUUCUUGAGUUCUCAAUUGUCGAACCACGAACUCCGUGAAUCUAUCCUUAAGUUCUCAACUGUCAAAUCACGAACUCCAUGACUCCAUCAUUGAGUUCUUAAGUGUCAAACCACGAAUUCCAUGAUGCCAUCCUUGAGUUCUCAAUUAUAGGACUACAAACUCCAUGACUCCAUUCUUGAGUUCUCAAUCAUAGAACCACAAAAAUGACUUCAUCCUUAAGUUCUCAAUUGUCAAUUCACGAACUCCAUGAUGCUAUCCUUGAGUUUUCAAUUGUAGAACCAGAAACUCUAUGACUCUAUUCGUAAGUUCUCAAUCUUAGAAUCAUGAACUCCAUGACUCCAUCCUUUAGUUUUCAAUUGUAGAACCACAAACUCCAUGACGUCAUCUUUGAGUUCUCAAUUGUAAAACCACAAACUCUAUGACAUCAUCAUUGACUUAUCAAUUGUAGAUCCACGAACUCAAUGAUGCCAUUUUGGAUUUUUAAUUGUCGAAUCACAAACUCCAUGACUUAUUGGAUUGGAUGAAAUACAUGUAUCUAAACUAAAAAGUAGUUCUUUACGGGAGGAAAUGCCAGACAGACUGACCUCUGCUAACUAUGUUUUAUAUAGAUUGUAUUUUGAAAGCUCUAUAAGCAGACAACUUAAUUAAUCAUAACCAGUAUUUUAAAAAGUGCACGUGCGAGGCGAGGCAUUUUACCUGAUAAGGGACGAGACGUAAACCUCGAGAAAUCGAGCAUAAACCCCGUGGAUCUUUAAUUAUAAAUAUUUUAUAAACUAAUAGAAUAAAAAUAAAUAUUAAAAGAAGUUAAAACUAUAUAAAAAUUAUAGAAAUUCUUAAAAAAUAUAAAAUAAAUAAAAAUAUACAUACAAUUGCUUCUUCUUAAAACGCUCUAAUUGACUAAAGAUCACAACUUCUUCGUCUAAAAAACUAAUUAGAUUUUUUUGUUGUUGACAUGAUUAGAAUUUAUAAACUAACUUGAAAGAUCAAGGAUUUUUAAAAGAAAGAAAAGCGAAGAAUAAAUUUACAAUCAAAAGCCAAAUCACAGCAAGUGAUGAAGGAUGAUGCGUUUUGGCGUAGUAGUUUGUGAAUUGAUUAUUUUUCCUUUGCCUAGUAUAAGACGAAGAAACAAUUAUGGCUAAGAACAUAAAAAUAUUUUGACUUUUAAGUUUUUUAACUUUUAAAAAUUUAAUAACAAGCUAAUUUUUGUGAUUUUUAUAUUAAAUUAAGAAUUUACAAUUGAAUAGUAAUUUUAAUUCUAAUUUGGAGAGAUUAUCUUGGUUUACGCCUUGCAAUACUUUCAUCUCCCUCAUCCCGAGGAGCGUUCUUACUACGCCCAACAUCAUAACUCAUGCAUGUUUGGGCAAUCUUAAUUAAGCAACACUUACCCAUUUUGCUUUGUAUUUAUUAUAGUAGGAACACUUUAAUCCUCUUAUCUUUUCAGUAAUUAGGUUCUCUUGACACUAUUACUGUCUCUCAAAGAAUGCCACUAUUACCGUGGGUAGUCAAACAUCCUUUUCUUCAGAGGCGGAUCCGAGAUUUAAAUUCUAUGAGUUCAACCAUUAAGGUUUUUAGCAUUACAUUAUUAUAUUUUUAAAGUUAUGAGUUCAUAUUUACUAUUUAUUGUAAUUUUAAUAAAUUUUUACAUAUAAAUUUAUACUCCGCAAUAAAAGCACUGGGUUCAGUUGAACCCGGUGCUAGAGGGCUGGAUCCGCCCCUGCUUUUCUUUACUGAGAUAUAAAUGGUGAUUUACAGUAUCUUUGAUAAUUUUUAAAUAUAUAAAAUUUAUCUUAAAAAUAUUAAAAUUAAUAUUCGGUUUGACAUGGUAUUCCGAAUACCGCAAUUAUUUUUCUUUUGGGAGAGGGGGAGGGGGCAAAUGAAGCACCAAGUUUAUUACUAAUAUUGUGGCGUAUUGGUCAAUUACCGUUUCACUAAAAAAACUUUUGACUUGAUUAAAAAACUACUUUUUAGCUUUGUCACGCAUUAAUCAAAUAGAGUAUGAAUUACAGUAUAUGAAUUGAAAAUGGCUACUUCAGGAAUGAUUUAUUUAUUUGACUUCAUCUUAUGAUCUGGAUGAUUGCUAGUCACCAACUUUAGUUCAUAUAUGCGUAAGUGUGAAUUUCAGAAAAUUCUCUUCAAAGAAAAACUUGUGUUAGCUAGGUGUGAAAAUUACCUCAGCAAAAAGUGCAUCAGGAGUGAAGUAAAUUAACAAUAUUUCAAAGAAUUAUUGCAUUUCUUUUUCUCUUGAUUUUAAAAAUUACAUAAGAAAAGAAAGAAUAUCAUUCUGAACGAAAGAAAUUUUUUAAGUGAUAUGCUUGCUAAAGACAUAUAUAAAGUCCUUCAAGCUUGGAGUAGCUGUGAUAACUUUUUGUAGGAUGGAAUAUAUGUAGUCAUUUCACUAAUAAUUGAUAUUUCCUAAGUUUUUUUUCCCAUUAUCUGGGAGUGUUGUAUUAAUCAAAAUUUGUUCCCAUUAGUACAACACAAGGGUAUAGGUUACCCUUCAAAAGAUAUGGCGAGGUGAUAAUAAAGUUCACCUGCCACCGCCAACAAAAAUCCUAGCUUACAAAAAAAAUUAGCCUUGUCAAACUUGAUUCUAAUACUCGGUAAUUGGCUUUUGUCCAGGUGAAAGGGGCCCUUAGCACCUUUAGGAAGUUGCUGACCGGAGAAGUAGUAAAAUUCGGUCUGAGUUUUGGCCGCCAAUUUUGCUAAACAGUCAGCUAGUUGGUUGAGAGUUCCUCUUUCUGGUUUUUGCCAUUGCACUGUCAUGGAAUUCUAUUUGGGAUGAAUCCUUACUAGAGUGUCGUAAAAAUUGUCCCAAGACAACUUGAGAUUACAAUUUGGAUAGGCCUUGUUGAUUGCACUUUUCACAUUCCAACUGAUUUGUUGCUUCAACUUAUAGAAGUUGAAUUUCUUUUGAUUUCCAUACCUGCAAGCACAAGUUUUUUUUCACAGUACCCAACAUAUGAUAAUAGGAGUAAUACUUAACACUAAUUUAUGUACAUCAUUAACAGACUUAGUUUGCCAUCAGGUAUUUAACAUAUAUCUACUAGGGUGGGGGUGAUAGUUAAUUCCAAGUUGAGAGCCAAAAUGUUUCCACACAUAAGUGGCUGCCUGUCCUUCUACAAAAAUAUGGUGCAUAUUUUCAUAGGCAGGAUUCUCACAGCAGUUACACCUAAAAACAAUAUGUCUCCCAAACCUAGAAAUAGGGGAGUUUCCCUUUCCAAAGUCUCCAAACCAGGAAUGACAUAUUAAAAGGAAUAUAAGAGUUCCAAAUCUUACCAAUAUGUUGUUGCUUAGAUCUAGAAUUUCUUUCCAGAUGCCAAGUUAUCCUGUUGGAGUAUUUACCAUUCUCCAUAAGGUCCCAAUAAACCUUAUCCUCUUUUUCUUGAUUUUCAAUGUCAAUUUUUAGGAUAUGAUCUAUCAGAUGUUCUGGAAGGACAUUCUUCAGCUUUCUAACAUCCCACCUGCCCUCAGUGAUGAAUUCACGCACCAAAGUUUUAUGGCUCCUCCUAGUGGUAGUAACUAAACCUGCAAGAUGACUUUUUAAGGUCCAAUUAUCCCACCAAAAACUGCUAGAGCCUGAAUUGAUUUGCCAGACCAUGUGCUUAUCUGCAAUGUUUCUUAUAAUAAGAACAUGUUUCCAGGCAUGUGCAUUCCCAGGAGCCCAUUAUUUCGAAACCAAAUGAGAUCUAAUGCAAUAUUUAUGUUUCACAUAUGUUGCCCAUAGAGAUGAUGUGGACCUGAUCCUCCACCACCUUUUCAUAGCCAACACAUUACUGAUUUCUUCCAUCUUUCUAAUACCAAUACCACCCUCAUCUGUAGGCACAGUGAGGUAAUUCCAGGAACUCUAAUGGUACCUUUUAUGUUCCAUAGAAUUAUCCCAGAAAAAAUUAGCAAAAUAUUUUUCAAUUAGUUUAAAAGUAGUUUUAGGGAGGGAUAUAACAGAUAAUGUAUAAACGAGCAAAGAUUGAAUGACACUUUUGAUCAACACAACUUUACCUCUAUAUGAUAAAAGCUUGCCUUACCAACCAUUGAGCCUUUUCACUAUCUUACUAAUCAGGAUGUCAAAAUAUUCAGUCCUUUUUCUGCCCACAUAUAGAGGACAACAAAGGUAAUUAAAAGGAAAAUUCUUAUCCAUAAAACCAGAGCACUUCCUAAUUCUAUUAAUCCUGUCAGCUGCAAUCUUAGGAGCAGUGAGGAAAAAGCUCUUGUCUCUGUUAACCAAUUGACCAUAGCUUUUCUCAUAGUUACCAAUUUGCUUCAUAACAAGAUUAAUAGUUGCAGAAUUACCACUACGAAAAAUAACAAUAUCAUCUGCAUAGGUUAAAUGGUUAAUUUUUGGGACCUUAUCAUGCAUAGAAAAAGGGGUGAAAUCAAGAUGAUUAUACAAAUUAUUAAGAGUCUUGGAGAGAACCUCGGCAGCUAUAAUGAACGAAGAAGGGGAAAGGGGAUCACCUUGUUUAAGACCUUGAGAGGAAAAGAAAUUUUUUUGUCUAGAUCCAUUAAUAAUGAUCGAAUACCACACAUUCGAAAUCAAAUUAUGAACCAUGUCUAUCCAGUAUUUAGAGAAACCAAAUUUACUUAACACAGAAUAAACAAAAGGCCAUGCCAUUCUAUCAUAGGCCUUAGCCAUAUCAAGCUUAAUAAUAAUAUUACCUCCCAUGUUUUUAUCAGUAAUCUUGUAAAUAAUUUCUUGAGCCAGUAAAAUAUUCUCGGAGAUUAGUCUAUCCUUCACAAAACUACUUUGAUUAGGAGAAACUAAUUUGUGCAAGAGGGGGUUUAGCCUUAAAGAAAAAAUUUUAGAGAUGAUUUUGUUAGAGAAAUUAGAUAAACUAACUGGUCUAAAAUCUAAAAAAUAAUAAGGAGUAUCAAUUUUGGGAAUCAAAACUAAGCAAGUAUGAGAGAAGAAUUUAGUCAAACCUUUCCCUUUGAAGAACUCCAGAACAACUGCAAUGACAUCCUCUUUGAUAAUAUCCCAGCAAUUAUGGAAGAAUGCUCCAUUAUAUCCAUCCGGUCCAGCUGUGCUAAAAGCACUUAGACUCAACACAACAUUUUUUAUUUCAGCUUCAUCGAGCAUCUUACUGAGAAUUAGGUUAUCCUCCUCAGUAAUGCUAUUAGGAAUACACUCUAAAAUAGUGGGGUUGAGGUUAGGAGUUGGUAAGUUGAAAUGGGAAUUGAAGUGCCUGACUGCAACUUUGGAGAUCUUCUCAUCACCCAUAAUCCACUUGCCCUUAUGAUUCUUAAUUCCAUUUACCUGUUGUUUCCUCCUUUUUUUCCUGAGAAUGCAGUGAAAGUAUCUGGUAUUACUAUUACCAUCUUCAAACCAUUUUAUCCUAGAUUUCUGUUUGAGAAGGGAGUCUUGGAUACUCAACCAUCUAAUAUAUUCAGCAUGGGCUUUGUUCAUUUUUUCUCUACUUUGCUCGGUGUUGUCUUCAAUGUCUUUAUCUUCCAAAUAUUGAAGCUUCUCCUCCCAGUUGAUAACAGCCUCAUUAAUGUCACCGAUGUCUUUCCUAGACCAUUGACUUAAUCUCUUACUGAGAGCCUUCAGCUUGGAUUGCAAGAUCCAUAUAUGAUUACCCAUAACCUUUUUCUUCCAAAUUUCCUUAACAAUAUUAUAGAAAUCAGACUGAUUAACCCAACAGUUAAGAAAUCUGAAAUACUUAAUAUAAUUAUUGUUGGCGUAAAGAUCCUUUAUGAGCAGAGGUCUAUGAUCCGAUCUCGUCCUUGCCAAAAGCCUAAUUGAACAUCUUUGAAACAAAAUUGUCCCAUAGAUCAUUAACAAAGACUCUAUCCAAUCUUUUCCAAAUUUUCUUCCUGGGUCUCCUGUUAUUGCACCAAGUAAAAUUUGGGCUUGAGUAACCAAUAUCAGUAACUCUACAAAUAUCCAUACAGUUUUGAAAUUUAAUGCUUUUGUACAUUCUAUGAGGUUUACCCCCUAAUUGUUCACUUGGUUAAAGGAUCACAUUAAAAUCUCUCCCGAUACACCAAGGUGCAUCCACCAGAUGACUAUCAUGUUCCAAAGAUGACCAAAGGACUCUUCUAUCUUCUGAAUUACAUUUAGCGUAUACUGUCGUAACAAAGAUAUCUUGAGUACCUAUAGCUUUCUCCAAUUUGAUGGUAAUGUGUUGUUCACUUUCUGUGAAAAUCAUUUUAUUGCUGUAAGAAUUCCAGAAGCACCAAAUUUGACCAUUACCAUUAGAAUGGCAAUGUUAAUACCCUAAGAAUCUCAUGUAUCCAUCUACCUUUUCUUUAGUAUUAAAAGGUUCAAAGACAGCUACAAAAUGUGUGUUGUUGAUGCCAAUCAACCUUUUAAGCCCGUGAAUGGCUUUUUUGGAUAUCACCCCCCUUAUGUUCUAGAAGAUUGCACUAAUCAUAAAAAUAAUUUGGGGUGUUUUUCUCUCUUUGUUUCCUUCUUUGAGAAGGAUGUGUUCUGUUUCUUUGACCUUUGCCACUUUUUCGAGUUUCACUUCGGCCUCUUUUAGCAAUGUAUUGAUUAUCCAUUUUUUGACUUUAUGAAACUUCCUCAAUGUCUUCAUUCUCCGUGUCGCUAUCUCUUUUGGAGCUCAUAUUGAGUUUGUUAGUAUUUCCCUCAUUCAUAUCCUGAUCCCACUCUUUUCCAUCCAUAUCAACAACUAAUUUUAUUCCAGGUUGAUUUCUAACCUCUGUUGGAAAGUAGAUGAGCUUGAGGCACAGGUUGUAUGCUUGUGCAUUUCCUCUUCCUUGCUUUCUUCUUCCCUGCUAGUAUCUUUAUUAUCAGACAUUUGAUUGACAUUUUUCAUUUCUAUAUUAGGAGCUUCCUCUUUCUCUAGCCUUUCAUUCUUGCCAGUAUCAUUAACAUUGAUUUGUCUCUCAUGUUCUUGUGUAUCAAAUGUUUCUUGAUUCUGAAUACUAUCUCUAAUAGCAGCUAUAGACUGAUCAUUUUGUUUGCUCGUCGAUGUAGAAAUAAAAUUAUUUUUGCUACUGUUCUGCGUAAGUUUGAAUCUUACUUUGCUUUUCUUCUUCGGCAUCUUUUUGGUUUUCUUCUUCUUAUUUCUUUUCUUCAUGUUUUUCCCUUCUUUAUUGCUAUUAGUCUUUGUAUUUUCAUUCCCCUAUUCCUGUUUCUUUUUACCGUUAUCAACACUGUGAGAAUCUACUUGAAUUGUGUCCUCCUUGCCGUUAUUGUUUUCUUUCAUCAUCUUGUUCAUAGAAUGUGCUUCAUCCUCAUUUUUGAUAAUCUCAUCUCUAUCUCCCUCUUCCUUAGCUUGAACCGCCUUUUUCUUUUCAAGAGCCCUACAAUUGACUAUGUAGUGGCCCAAUUUCCGACAAUGUUUACAAUAUUUUGGGACGCCUUCAUACUCUAAUUUUUAGGUAUAUCCUUUUAACGGCGAUUUAUCAUAUUCUUGACCCACAAAAAUACUUUGAGGCACAGGUUUUAAUAGGUCCACUUCCACUCUAAUUUUGGCCAUACUAGGCCUUGUUCUACCAAUUGUAGCAGCAUCUAGAGCAAGAGGCGUACCUACAGAGCUCAACAGUUGUUUGAUGUAGUGCCAAUCAUGCAUAUGAAAUGGUAAAGCUGGCAGAAGAACCCAGGCCGGAGUGACUAGCAGAUCCUCUUCUGGCUUGAAGUCCGGUGACCACUUUUGUAACCAUAUUUGCAUCCCGUCGAUUUCGAUAACUCUUCUGAACCAUACUGUUUUCCAGUCCUCCUUAUUGAAGAGAUCAAUGAAGACAUUUUGAUUGUAAUAGACCCCUAUUCUGACCGACCCUUUCAAUGGAAUAAUUUCCUUAAAUCUUGACAUAAUCCGGUCAAUUUGGGGGCAUGGUCGAAGAAAUUUUCCCACAAUUGUGUACUUACAUGAAUCCGUCAUUAUGCCAUAGUAGUCUUUAGCCUCGAAAAUCAGAGCUGGCAUGCCAUUGUGAGUCGUAUGUCUUGCUAUCACUUUCUCCUUUUCAUGGCGAUUGGAGUUUGGAUUGGGGAUUUGAGAAGAUGAUGAAGAAGCUGAGAUGGUAUUAGCAUAGGUUAGUUUUCCUAGCUUAGAAUCAACAUUGUGAGAUGUUUCACCUAUGGGUGAACCUGAUCUGCCGUACGCACCGGUGGGAUGCCUCCUGGCGGCUCCAUCUAGUGGAGCGUGUGCAGGAUGCGUUAAGACAAGGGAUUUUAUGUAGCCGUUGUAGAAAGGAAAAGUUUUUCUUGUCAAUUUUUAAUGAUAUUUCAUAAGUUAGUAUCUCUAGUAUUACAUAAUUAUUAAAUUUUAAAGAGUUAAAUUCAGGGGAGGAUCCAUCCUUUAGGGUUGGCGUUGUACGUCACCCGCUAGAUUGGUAAAAUUAUCAAAUAUUUAUGUAGCAAUUUUCUUAAACUAGAUUAAUGUUACGACCCAAAAACCUAACCCGUCGUGAUGGCGCCUAUCAUGGUACUAGGCAAGCCGACCUUUCCAAAACACUUUCAAAAUUUAACAGAAGUGAAUUAAGAUAUUUAAAAUAACUGGAGUUUCUCAUAAAUACGGGGUAAAACCCAAAUAAAAUAUAAGUGCGGAAAAAUAGCCCGAUAUCGGGGUGUCACUAAGUCAUGAGCCACUAGACUCUCAAUCUAAAAGACAAUGUCUACAAUAGUCUACGUCUAGAUAUCAAUACAGAGAAAGAAAGAUAAUAAGGAAGGAGCACAAGGUCUGCGAACGCCGGCAGCUACCUCGUAAAUCUCUGGAAGAUCAACUACGCACGAACUCAAUGACCUCCAUGUCCAGUCACACCUGAAUCUGCACACAAGGUGCAUGGAAUAACGUGAGUACUUCCAACUCAGUAAGUAACAAAAUUAAAUAAGGAAAUGAGAAGCAGUGACGAACUACACAAUGCAGUUCAUUUCAGUAAUUUCAGCAAGAAAAUAGACAUGCUUUCAAUUUAGUGUUUUAAAUCAAAACAUUUCGAGUUCAGGUACAACAAUAUAUGCCCUCCAGAAAGUUUCACAACAACAACAAUUAGCAACGAAGUGCAACAACAAAAUAAGAGCAAGUACAGCCUUACAGGGCUACUGUCACUCAUCUAUCUCAACAGCUCAAUCACUCGGCUCUCAGCCUCAAUACUCACAAUUAAAGGUACCUGCACUCACUUGGGGUGUACAGACUCCGGAUGGGCUCCUACAGCCCAAGCGCUAUAUAUUGUUGCGGCGUGCAGUCCGAUCCAUAUAUUAUUGCGACGUGCAGCCCGAUCCGAUAUAUUGCUACGGCAUGCAACCCGAUCUGAUAUAUGGCUCGAAGGCUUGUUUCGGCGUGUAACCCGAUCCAAUAUAUGGCCCGAAGACUUGUUGCGGCGUGCAAUCCGAUCCAAUAUUGCUCACAUAGCUUCCAACUCGGCACUCAGGCCCUAUCUCAAUCUAUAACCUCUCCAACCCCUCGGGCUCACAAAAUAUCAUAAUAACCAGCCCAAACAAAGGAUACAACAAGUAUCAAUAAGAAAUGAAAGGAAACAGAGAUAUAACACACAAUAAGACUGUGACUGAGUACAAGACAUUAAUUAGCAGUCAAUUCAACAAAUAUACAACCGCUGCCCAAAAAUAAUUUCAUAUGGCCUAAGCAUGGUUUGUAACAUGAAAGGCAGUCAAUUGCUCAAAGACAAGGAAAUAUAAGUAAUAACAAUGGCUAUUCUACUUUACAGGCUUACGAGACGGACCAAGUCACAAUCUCUCACGGUGCAUGCUCACACGCCCGUCACCUAGCAUGUAUGUCACCUCCAAAUAUCACAUUAUACAAAUUCUCGGGGUUUUAUACCCUCAAAACCAGAUUUAAGACUGUUACUUACCUCAAUCCGAGCAAAAUCCUACUCCGCAAUGCAUUUGCCUCUCAAAUCGGCCUCCAAAUGUCCCGAAUCUAGCCACAAGCAAUACAAUACGAUCAAUAUAUGCUAAAGGGAUCAAUUCCACAAUAAAACUAUUGAAUUAGAACCAAAACCCGAAAUCGGCUCAAACCCGGGGCCCACGUCUCAAAAUCCGACUAAAGUCACAAAACCCGAAAGCCCAUUCACUCACGAGUCUAACCAUACUAAUUUCAUCAAAAUCCGACAUUCUUUGGUCUCUCAAAUCCCCCAAAUCCACUCUCCAAAAUUCCAAGCCCUAACCCCCAAUUUUUACUUCAAAACCCUACUAAUUAUGUGAGAAAUCAACGGAAAAACACCAUAGCUAAGGAUAAUUAGGCUCAGGGAACUUACCUCAGUGAUAACCCUCAAAUUUCCUUCCAAAAAUAACUCCAAAAGCUCCAAAGUCCGUGUUCCAAAUUGUGAAAAUGAGAAAAAAUCUCGAAGUCAUCUAUUUAUACUUUCUGCCCAGCAAAACCACACAUGCGGUCCAAUAUCCGCACCUGCGGAGCCGCUUCUGUGGUUGGGAACUCUACUUCUGCGAAAACUCACUUAACACACUGGCCCCGCACCUGCGUCCCAGGUCUCGCACCUGCGGACGCGCACCUGCGCAUUUCCCUCCGCUUCUGCGGAAACAGCCAAACUCCUCUCUUCCGCAUCCGCGUCUCAGUCUCGUAUCUGCGAGCUCGCAGAUGGGUCCCCCUUCUCGCACCUACGAUUCCAAUCCAACCCAGCCUUGCCCACAUCUGCGACUUCCUACGCACUUCUGUGGGCCCGCACCCGCGGGCCUCCCACCGCAGAUGUGAAAACACCAGAAUAAUCUGCCAAGCCUAAGUCCAAAACUUCCUUCCGUUGAGCAUCCGAAACACCUCCCGAGGCUCUCGGGACCUCAACCAAAUGUACCGACUAGUCAUAUAAGCCCAUACAAACUUAGUGGAACCUUCGAAUCACUCAUAACAAUAUCAAAACAUCAAAUUACCCCCGGAUUCAAGCCUAAGAACUUCUAAACUUUCGAAUUCCACAAAUGAUGCCGAAACCUACCAAACCACAUUCGAAUGACCUCAAAUUUUAAACACACGUCACAAGUGACACUAUGAACCUAUUCCAACUUCCGAAAAUCCAUUCCGACCCCGAUAUCAAAUUUUUCACUGCCGACCAAAAUCGCCAAAUUUCCAACUUUCGCCAAUUCAAGCAUAAUUCCACUACGGACCUCCAAAUCACAUUCCGGACGCGCUCCUAAGUCCAAAAUUACCUAACGGAGCUAACAGAAUCAUCAAAAUCCAAAUCUGAGAUCAUUUACACUUAAGUCAACAUUCGAUUAACUCUGAAACUACUCCGGACCCGAACCAACUAACCCGAUAUAUCAUAAUAUAACUGAAGAAUACGGAAGAAGAAGAAAUAGGGGAAACAUGGCUAUAACUCUCGAAACGAUCGAUCGGGUCGUUACAAUUAAAUAUUUGAUCCUGCCACCCCCAAUCGCAAACCAGACAAAGGUGCAAACCUUGUCUAAUUUUCAUUUUUUAUUGUGCUUUUUAUUUCCUUUGUCCCGGUCAUUUUCCUUUUUGGCUACCUCCCAAUUUUCUAUUUGUCGCUUAUAAUUUUUUAUAUGUUUUCCUCUAUUCUCUUAUUUUAUCUCUAAUCUUUAGCAAAAAUACUCAAAAAAGAGCCUCAUAUAUUUAAAAUACCGUAAAAUAAUAAUUUCUCUUAAUUUAAAUUUUUUAAAUUUUUUUUCAAAAUCAAAAAACUUGGGUCUUGAUAGAAAUUUUGGAUUAAGAUCAAAUUUAAUUUUUAUAAUUUAUUUUUUAUUAUAACAUAAAAACUUUUGUUAUUCUAUGAUUGUUAAAUACAAUUUAACUAUCUUUACUAUUAAAUUAUGGUGAAUAUUUCGUAAGUAUUGCUUAGAAAAAUAUUGAGAUUUUUUAUUUAAAUUUUUGGGAUCUUGUAGUUUAUCUAAUUUUGCAUUUACUUAUGGUGUAUAAUUUAUUUAUUGAAGAUAUUUUUAUUUUUUUCUUAUUCUGAUUGGUGAAAUUCCCUUAUUAAAGAUAUUUUACUUGUGCAAAUUUACUUUUAGCAUAUAAAAAAAGAUGCAGUUCCUUGUAAAAAAUAUUGAUUUUAUUUGUAUUGUUAAUAAUGAAGUGUGAUUCCUUCUUUAAAAUGCUAAUUAUAUUUGCUUCUUGAUGUUUGAGAUGUAAUUUUUGUACAACAACAUACUGAGUGAAAUCUCACAAGUAUUUUCUGGGAAAGAGAUGUAAUUUUCUAAUUUUAAAUAAAAAAUACAUAUUAAUUGCUUGAAUAAACUAAUAAAUAAAUAAAUCGGACAAACGUUCCCGAACAAACUCUAUACUCCCUCCGUUCCAAUUUAUGUGAACCUGUUUGACUGGGCACGAAGUGUAACAAAAAAUAAAUACUUUUGAAAUUUGUGGUCCUAAACAAGUCAAAAAAGGGUCGAGAAUAUUUGUGUGGUUAAAAAAAUUUCUCAUUAAGGAUAGAAUUGGAAAUUUAAAAUAAAUUAUUUCCAAAUUUAGAAAGGGGUCUUUUUGGAACGGACUAAAAAGGAAAUAAGUUUACAUAUAAACUGGAACGGAGAAAAUAUUAGUUAUUUUAAGGUGUACAUUAAAAAAAAAUUGUGACACCCGCAUCUUCAAAUCCUAAAUCCUCCUCCGGUUAAAUUCUCUAACGCUCUUAAGAUUUUAUGUCCAACUUCAUACUGAAUAUUAAGUAAUCCAUUCUCCGUACACUGCCAGAUGGAGCCGAAGGAGUACUUUAAUCUGCUAGGUCUGGCGAUAUCAAUUUUAAAAUAGUCAUAACUGUAGAAAUGAUUCCAUUACAAAAAGAGAUAAAUCUCGACGUUAAAUUGUUUUCAGGAAAAAAAAGAGGGAAGUUUCUUCUAAUCUUCAUGUUUUGCUGGAUCACUCCCUGGCCCUCUCCUAAAAUGGAUUGAUUUAAAGAAAAUCAAAUAAGAAAAAGAGAAAACAAAAGGCUAGCUAGAGAGAGGAGGAGAAUAUUAACACGUAUAAUAAUAUAACUUAGUUUAUUCAUCUCAUAAUCUCUGCAUUUUGCAAGGAGAUCGAAACUGAACAAAACAUACACAAUGACAGAAAUAAAAUAUAGGGCAAACAAUAUCAAUAACUUAGAUAACAUGGAGCUACAAGAACUUCGCCUCCUGUGGGGCUUUAUUAUUUACUCUUUUCUUCUUCUUCUUCUUCUUCUUCUUCUUCUUCUUUUCUCAUUGUCUCUCGAAAAUGGAAAAAGCCUUUCUUUUAGCUCAGCAUUCUGCUUUUCCUGCAUAAGAAUAUACAUUGUGUGAUUAGGUUCUUAGUAAUAUCAAAAGAUACUGAAAAUUCUGAACAGCUAGUGACUAAUAAAUGAAGCUAAGAAAAUAAGAAGCAGAGAGCGCAGUUCUUUAUAAUUUAUAUUAUAUUAAUGUUUUGCAUAAAGGCAGUUAUGCAAUUUGCUUUGCAUUCUUGACAUCAUUAUGAAAAUGUCUUAAUUAAUUUGGCUUUAUUACCUUCAACUUUGUGAUGUCACUUCUUAGUAAUGGUAGGGAGGAGGAGGAGAAGCGUAAACAUAGGGGUGGUGUGGUGGUGGAGACUUGUAGACUGGAGUUGGUGGUGGAGGUGACUUGUAAACUGGAGUUGGUGGUGGUGGGGACUUGUAAACUGGGGUGUGUGGAGGAUAGUAUGGUUUCUUGGAUGGUGGUGGCGACUUGUAAACGGGAGUUGGUGGUGGUGGCGACUUGUAAACCGGGGUGUGUGGGGGAUAGUAUGGCUUCUUGGGUGGUGGUGGCGACUUAUAAACUGGAGUGUGUGGAGGGUAGUGUGGCUUCUUGGGUGGUGGUGGUGAUUUGUAAACGGGAGUUGGUGGUGGUGGCGACUUGUAAACCGGGGUAUGUGGGGGAUAGUAUGGCUUAUUGGGGGGUGGUGGCGACUUAUAAAUUGGAGUGUGUGGAGGGUAGUGUGGCUUCUUGGGUGGUGGUGGUGAUUUGUAAACGGGAGUUGGUGGUGGUGGCGACUUAUAAACCGGGGUGUGUGGGAGAGAGUAUGGCUUCUUGGGUGGUGGUGGUGACUUGUAAACCGGAGGGUGUGGAGGGUAGUAUGGCUUCUUGGGUGGUGGUGGAGAUUUAUAAACUGGUACAGGAUGAUAUGGUGUUGGUGAAGGGUGGUAUGGCUUCUUAGGUGGUGGUGGAGACUUAUAUACAGGGUGAUGGGGUGGUGAUGGAUAGACAUGCACUGGUGGAGGAGGAGACUUGUAGAGGUAUGGUUUCUUAGGUGGUGGUGGAGAUGAGUAUUGAUAAUUUGCUGAGCUUUCAGAAGCUAAGCUCAGCGACACUAAAACCACUAAAAGAGAGGCAAAUAGAGAGGCCAUUUUCCCCAUCUUUGAAACAAAUGAGAAAAGUUGUUGUCCUCUUAAGCUUCACUCCGACCCCUUUAUAUAGCUUUCAAUUAUACAAUUACCCUUUCCAAGAUUUUCAUGAAUGAAGGUAAAAGUCUCACUAGAUUACUUAAAACCUACCAAAGUAAAAAAGCUAGAGUAUGCAUUUUGAUUUGGUUUUGUCAUGUUGUCGGCUCAAAUUGACUUGAGUUGGUAUACUCUUUUUGUUCGAUAGAGGCUGCAAGCUAAGCAUAGCUGGAAUUAAUAAACUAUUAUGGCAGCUAUACUAUUUCUGAUGCAAUAAUUUAAAGAGAAAAGUCUCCUUUACUUUCUAUCUUUGUAUACAGUACCGAAGCUUUGAAAAACAAGUGUGGAUGCCUCAACUUUGCACGAUUUCAGUUGCAGAAAUCUGAGCAAUAGCUUUUUUUAUAUGUCUCUUUUAACUUUAAUGAAUGUUCUUAUUUAUCCUUAAAAUUGGAUAACAAUUAAAUUUAUAAUAUUGUUCUAAGUACACGUAAUUUCACUUAAUACCAAUUGAUAAAUAUGAAGAUUAAUAAUAGAAAUAAACUAUAAAGUAAAGCAAACUUGUGUUAGAAUGGAACUCAGCCCUCAAGUUUGGAUACCCUCGAACUGGUUGAUGUAAGAACAAUUAAAAUAUAACAAGCUGAUGAACAAUAGUAUAAACGAGAAAGAGAAUUACAUUUCUUUGAUAUCUGUGAACCAUGUGUCUUCCAAAUGAUUAGAACCCCCUAUAAAUAGUAGAGGAAUUUCACUUAUGGUAUAAUUCUAAUUACAGAAGUAAAUUCAUGAUUAGCUAAUUAACUGUUUCUAAUUUGAUUCGUUUCGAGAUUUAUGCCAUGAUCCUCGACCAGUCGUGGAUAUCUCGCCUUUCUGUUAUUGUGCUAUCUUCGAUCUUGCUCGAUGUCUGUCUCAUUUGGUUUCGAUCACUACUAGCCUCGAUCUCGACCGGUACCUCGAUUAUGAACUCAGUACCUUAUCCUCGUGAUUUAGUCUGUUCUGUUACGAGGCCAUUCUUCGAUGCAACCUCCUAGUCUCGGUCAAAUAGUAAAAUCGGGUGGGCCCGAUUUUAACCGUAUACAGAUAGUCUCCUCGUUUUUUGGAGUGAAAUGACAAGAAACGAAUUGAGCCUUCAAUUUUCUAUCUCGACCUGUAAUGACGACAUCCUCAUGACGUAAGCGACGGGAGUGACCAAAACGUCCCGUCAGUACAGUUUUCCAAGUCAUUAAUGAGUGUUAGUUGGUUGUCGGCCACUAGUGCCUUUGAACUGUCGCCGUGAGUCCAAUAAAUAGAUCACUUCCUCAUUGAUUCAAACUUUACUUUCACUUCCUUCUAAUAUCUAAAGCUUUUACAUCUCUUAAGUUCGUCCCUUUUACAAAUCUUCAGGCUUUGCUGUUAAUCAUGUCUCAAAUGUCAAGUCCUAUUAUCUUCCUCUUCUUCAAACUUACACAAGAAUGGCAAAAACAUCGAAAAUGGUACCACAAAAAGAAGUUGCUUCAUCUUCUCAACCGACCGACGGAAAAACGCUGGUGGAUCCCCGUCUUGAGGAAUGCAUUCUUGGGGGUGCGUGCUAAACUCCGAUUUUAAGACCGAUAAAGCCUCGUCGAUUCCUGAUCGAUGCGAGCCAAUGUCGAGGUAUAUAUGCUCAAUAACUGAGGGAUACCUUAAGCAGGUAAAGAAAGACCGCAACUGGGAAGGCAAAGAGGUGGUGAUCCCGACCCCCGAAAAAGAUAUCACCACUCAUGUGGAAGGGUUUCUAAGUGUUUACACUUACCCUUUCACGUUGGGCCCCCUCGACCCCGUCAUCGUUAAUUUUUGCCGUCAAUACCAAAUAACCCUAGGCCAAAUCCAUCCUUCCUUUUGGCAAAUUGUUAUUCUGCUCCGAUUCUUCGUGAGCAAAGUCGAGGGGCUCCCUUUCAUCCUCGAUCACCUUAUCAGAUUGUAUAGCCCCGCCUCUAUCGAGGCGGGUUAAUAAAACUCCAAUGUAUGGCUACCAAAGUGUUGUUCUCGAGCAUAGACGAGGACAAGGAUCGAGGCUGGAUGAGCCGGUUCGUUCGAGUGUGGACUUCCGACCUAAUCCUAGCCAAGAAGAUGCCAUUUCCUGAGAAAUAGAACAUGAAUCGUAAGUACCGUCUCACUGUUAGCUUCCAUGUAUUUUAUUUGUUCCUUGGUCUUUUCUCAUUGAUAUCUUUUUCCAUGAUGUAGCGGUCGCUUGGAUGCCCCGUACGAUUCCCGACCUUGAGAGCUGGGUUCGGAACCUGGCCUCGACCUCUACAUACGCCGAGCGCUCAUGGCACGAUUUAACAAAGGGCCGAUGGGAGGCCAAGAAUCAUGGUAAGCCCACUUUUUGUGUAUUUGUUGAUUUGAUUAAGAUGCCAUUCUUCUACUUAUUCAAUUUUCUCGUGUACAAGCCUGGGCAAUGAUGCGGUCAUGAGACCCCCGUCUGGUGAGGAGGAGACUUCGACCCCGGUUUCGAAGCCGAUGAAGGAUAAGAAGAGGAAAAUGACCUCAACCUCCGAGGAUCCAAAGCCUAAGAAGAAUCCGGUUCGUAAGCCGAAGAAAUAUACCGUUGCCCUGCCUGUGGAUGUGAUUCAAUGGCUAAGGAAGGAAGAAGAAGAGGAUGAAGAUGAUGGUUCGGAACUGGUGGCCUGAGUGAAAAAAACCAUCGAGGCCCCAAAGGCCGCUGAAUCGGUGGUGGUUGAGGAGAUUCCGCCUCGGCGUCUUAGAAAAGGACUCGGGCAAAGUCCCCAAGUCGUUGAAGAACAAAGAUGCCUCCCGUCGAGAUGAGCAAAAGGCGGGUAUAUCUGAAAGGGUCGGCUUCGAAGCCCUUCGCAGCGAGGAGAACACCCCAAGUGGCUCACUUGGGGCAAUAGAUAUUGGAGACUCAUUGAUUCUCCCUGCGUUUUCCGAGGAGGCAAUUCGGGAGGCCCAAGCUACGAGGACUCCCGAAGUAGACAGGGCCCAUGGAGAGGAGGACCCCUUCCGUGGUUACUUUAUUGGGGUCGAGGAUGCUACCGACCUGAGUGAAGCAUCGAGUCUCUUCACUAAGGCUCAACAAGUCUUGAUUCCGGUGAGUCUCAAAUCCCUUUGUCAAUAUCAUACUUAGUUUAUUUCUUCUCUUCAUGUCUAAUUUCCUUUCUUUUUUCCGUAUAGGCUUUGGCGCUCUAUUAGGAGGCGUUCGCAAAGUCCCGAGCAAAGCUGAGCCGAUGUGAGGCUGACCUCCAAGGGCUCACAGAGGAGAGAAAUGCCCUUAAACUUCUCAGUAGGCAAAAAGAAGAGGAUAUCAAGGACCUCCGAGCCGAGUUGGCCAAAGCUCACCAAGAUCAGACCGACCUGAUCGAGCAGGUAAUGAAAAUCUUAAAAGCUCAUGGGCUCGAUUCGGGAACGGUGGCUAACAUUUCAAUCUCACAGCUGAAGCAGAAGGUCAAGAGGAUCGAGCAGUUCUGCGAGGAGGUCAACAUAAUGAAGGCGGAGACCUUGGGGUGGAAACAAGUAUGGACCACUUUGCUGCUGAAAAAGAGGCUGCUCGAGCCUAAUUGUCAUCGGUCGAAAGUCAACUUUGAGGCAUGAAGGAGAAGAGCUCAGCUCAGGCAAAGAAAAUAGAGGAGCUCAAGGCUCGGUUGGCUUCCGAACUUGCAAAGGCCAAAUCCGAACCUGAAAAGGCAAAGGCCGAGGCAGAGGC